AAAGGACAGACGAUCCCUAGCAUGUAUUGUAUAUAGGUUAUUUUGUUGGGCCUGUGUCAUCUAUGAGGUCUAGCUUUUUCUUUUUCUGUCUAAUGACUUUUGUUGUAAACUGCUAGUCUCAGCUCUGUGGAUCUUUCUUUUAUGCUGAUUAGUUAAAUUAUAUGGAAAUGAAGAAAGUCCAUGCCAUCGUUCUUCUUCCUCAAAACCAGCUUCAUUUUAAUUGUUACCAUUUGAACUUUUGCAAAGUGGCAAGGACAUACCAAGCAAUAAUUAGGAUAGUAAUAGUUGGAAGGUGGAGUACAAAAACUAUUGACAUGAACUGAAUUUGAGCCCCAAAUAUGUGUAUCAUUUCUAGAUAUUUAUCCAUGGCUGGUUUAAUGAAUAUGAAUAUUAUUUCAUGAUGAAAUCAUUUGAUUUAUCAAUGGACUAUGUGGUCAUUAAGGACUGGUGGUCCAGGUUUGGGAGCAAAUGGUCUUGUUACACGGUAACUACAUCGUAUGUUGCCUGAAAAUAAUGCAGAGUUGGUACUGCAAGCUAGUUGAGCUCAUUAUGUCUCUGUCUCGUCGUAGCCUCGCACUGCUCUCAACAGGCCCCCAAUUAAUCUAGCUUAGUGCUGCAAAUAACCAGGGCCCAUUGUUCAAUUGCUAGCCAUUCCCAAGCGAGGCAUGUGUACGGUCCGUUUUCGCCCCUUUGCUGUUGUUGCUCCUGUUUAUUCUGUACCCUGUACAUAAUGCACUUGCUGAAGUUGAUAAACUUGCACAUCACACCAACUGCUUACCACGACAAAUGCUUAAAUAGACAAAACGUGUGGAUUGGCUGUACAUUAACUUUGAGAGGAAUGCCAGCUAAGAGAAGUUCUUUUUAUCUGCAACUGUGAGGGCAGAAGAGAAAAACAUCUUCCAUUAAUAUAUCACCAACGUAUCUUCAACAAGUAAAAAGUACAGCACAGGAAAAAAGACCGCACCUUGUUGGAACUAUGUUUCUUUGUGGUCAAUUAUAGGAAUGUGUCCAGUCAAGACCUUAACUUAGCAACAAAGAAGAAGGGGCCCCCCCCAGAAAUAAAAAUGGAUUGAUGGCAAAAGUAUGUAAACCCUAGUUCUGCUUUACCUUGUCAAAGUGCAAGGACCUUACCAGAUCUCCAUUGUUUUAGCAAGCUAUUCUCCUGAUGGAAGGUAAAGAAAUCUUCUCUUAUCUGUCCAGUGACAACUCACAGAUGUUAGCUAAGCCAAGAGACGAUUGGCUAUUAGAUUGUUCAAAUCACUAGAGGGUGUGUUUUUGUGCUUACUUGUGAAUGUGACAUUGCCCAUUGAGUGAUCCAUCAGAUGAUUCGGAAAGGCCUGUACCGAGAUAUACAUUCCAUUGAACAUUGUGUUUGCUGUACCUAAUGCCGUUUGCCCAUACUUAUGACUGCGAAAUGGCGUCUUAAUGUACCUAAUGUCCUCUGCUGCCCAUUCUCGUGACUGCGAAAUCGCGGUUCGAUGUUUACAAGAUAUCCACCCUUGAGUGAGGCGCGUGCAUAUCCGGUGCGGUAAGCAGCCCCUAUUCUAUGCAAUGAAGGUGAUGUGGCUCUUUUUUUAAACCGCAAUUAACAAGACAUGACGGUGAACGCCGUACUAAUAUAAACCACCGGUUGGUUACCUUUGUAUAAUUUCAGAAUCAAAGUGUGCCCUUUCCAUUCAAAACUUCUUGUUUAGUGCUCCACUACAGAUCAUCCUAUCCUUUUCCAAAAAAAAAAGAUCAUCCUAGUGUAUAAUAAGUACUGGUGAGAGCAGAAUCUGCAUUUGGUAGGACUUGAGCAUAUAGUACAAUGCUCUGUUGUCAAACUUCCUUUUUCCCUGCCAGCUUCUUUAGAAAGAAACAUGACAGGGUGAAGACAGAGUUGGGUGAAGAAAUGGCUACCUUCUCUGCAUUUGUCAUUGCCCUUUAGGAGAAAAAUACUACUCUGAACUAAAACCACGAUAUUUGUUAUAGAUCGUUGGAAGUAAUUAGUAUGCGUAGUUCUAACUGAAGAGUAUUUUCUAAAAGGAAAAUAUUUGUGUUGCUAACUAAAGGGGUCUAGCUGCUGAGAAUAUGUUAUAUGGAGUAUAAACUAGGAGACAGUAGGUCACUGUCACCCUAUAAAUAUCUAGUGUCAGUGACCACACAGUUAGGUUCCGGUGGGCUCCUGUAUUUAGACCAGAAACCAAUAGUCGUCGUCUCAUAGAUGAAGACAAGCACGGACUGCCGUUAACCUGUCAUGAUUAACCCCCAUAACAACCAUCGUCUAUUAACUGGAGUACGUCCUGAACUAACCAUCCGAUUGUACCAACUGUUGCUGUUGCGAUGUGAGGGUAACAUUUUGGGCUGUUUUUGGCAUCGCGGCAGUAGCAUUAAAAGGUACUUUCAUCUCUCUAAAAUAUUACCAGUACUUGUUUUUCUUUUCUUUUGCGUAUCAUAUUACCAGUAGUACUUGUGUAGCACUCUCCUUCGGAGUAACUAACUGGAUUCCACUUUCUCGAACGGAAACAAACUUACUCUCUCCGACCAUCUUAUUCGUCGCUUGGACCAGAGGGUUCAGUGACAGAGUAGUAGAUUUGAUAGUUCAGUAACCACAAACUAAACUUUGUUAUAUUACUCAACCCGCGCGGUGGACCCUGACAAGGGCCGGCGACAUGGCUCCGAUUUUAAUUGUUUCUUUCCGUUUUGUUAAGGUUUGUGUCUUGUUCAGGAAGGCGAGAUGGCGACGGCUCCCUGAAGAUGGAAUAAAGGUCUCCUUGUCUAGCUCUCGUUCUGGCGGUGCGUCUAGCAUCGUUGGUGGGUGUGUGGAGGUGUGUCUUCGGUGAAUCUAUGUUUGAUCGAUUUGCUUGGAUCUUGUCGUUAUUCGUCUACAUUCGUGUAUCUUUGGGUUGGAUCCUUCAUAUCUAUGCUAUUCUUCAUCGGCGGCAGUUGCUGUUGUGGUGCGCUGGUCUUAUGGAGUCUUAGCACGAGGACUUUCCGACUGUCUACUACAAUAAGUUGUGCCCAACUCCAACGAUUGAGGGGUGAUGACGGCGGCGCGCCUUCGGCUUGCUUCAGUGCUUGUAGUCGUCGCUAGGUGGUCUACGAAUCUGGAUGUAAUUCUUAUUAUUUUUUAUGUUCGUUGUACUGACAUGAUUGAAGAUAAAUAAAUGGGAGUUUUCUUAAAAGAAAAAAAGAUCGUGGUCUUCUUUUUGUCGAUGAAACACAUCAAUGAUCGGAGUAGAAACAAACUUGAAAAGCAGCACCAUUUGGAGUACAGAAAAUUAAUGUGCUUCCUGCAGGAACUGAAGAUGCAAGAUCCACCGCUUUUCAAGCAGUGACGUCUACAUCGACAACUCAAUGCAGUGGGGGAGUGGAGUGAAGUCCUGUACGUGCCUCCUCGUGCAAUUUAUCAGUACAAGUGAUUGACACGUCGAGCUGUGUAAGGGUACAAGUGAUUGACACGUCGUGCUGUGUAGGGCAGCUACUUGGAGCACAGUGUACUUCCGGACGAGGCCCUCCCUGUGUUAAUAAGGUCAGAGUCGGGCCGGGCGGACCCAGGCCAGCAAACCCUAGUUAACCAACCUAUUCGGGUGCCAUUAACUAGUGCACCCAUGACCGACGAUGACAUCGCCAGGCAAACCCACUUCCAACGUACGUACGUACUAGGUACUACGGUCCAAGGUACGUACUAUACCACGGUCCAAGGUGAACAGAAAGUGAUCGAGUAAUUAGCCGCCCCUAAGUCUUUAUGCUAUCAUCAGUGUCGCACAUUUCUGGAAGAAUAAAAACACCUUGGCUGCUUAUUCUUAAUACAACAGCACGCAAGUCUUGCAUGUUCUGAAGGAAAAGAAUGCCACACAUUUCUGGCAUUGUCUUGUUGGAGAGACCCGAGCAACCCGAAUAGUACUACCUUUCCUAUUAGAAAUGUUUUAGCCAGCACUUUGGGCUUUGGACAGAGUGGCGUCACGUGCUCGAUUUCUACAGUCGUUGUAGUGUUUGGACUGAGUUUAUACAAUAACGUCGAAAGUGGGAUGGAGCGCAAAGCUCUUUGUACGCUCUUCCACCAAGCUUAGCACCCGAUCCAUCUAUCUUUCAUCGCAUGCACCGAAUGCUGCCCGAGGUACGUCGAUAGAUCGAUCCAUCUUUGCUCACGGACGGACAGGUUGGUUGGACGUCGGUGGGCGGCGAGCCAUGUGUUGCAUUGCAUGUAGUAUCCAUUGGAGCCAUCGCCAUCGCCCACCCACAAUUCUGUUCCGGCAAAUGAGCGGCCGAACAUUGCGCCCAGUCUAGCUACGACGAAGAGGCACGGCCCGGCCAUUGAUUCGUCGCCUGCUCCUCCGUUAGCAGCGUAAAGGUCACUAUAGUUAGCACCCCUUCAUUGCCCUCAAUAAUGGGGCUAAUAGUACCGUACCGUGCUUAAUUAGCACCCAGAGGCGCAGCACCGCUGAUCCAGCAGUAAUGGUGCGCCUCAAAGAUAGCAGCCGGCCACCGCUUUUGGUUUGCGAGGCAUAUCCUUUCUCGUCGUCCAAGGUUGUGGCCUUGUGGGUGGAUGAAACAACGCACAUUCUUUUUUAAAUAGUUUGAAUUGCUUAUCACAUGUACAAUGUGGUGAAACAAUGCAGAUUCUGUACUACCUGCUUUUCUACUCCAUUUUUUUCCAGUUCAAUAUACACCUGGUUGUUAAUAUUCCCUCCGUUCCAAAGUCAAACUUAGCAAAUUUCGACCAAUUUUAUAGAUAAAACUAUCAAUAUCUAGAAUACCAACCAUUAUGAACGAAGGGAGUACUGCCGUUAUUUAGUCCUGCGUGGACACCAUCGAUCUUUGAAUUCGAAAAGGAAAACUGCUUCAGAGUGUCUCGCUCCAUUUCUAAUUGCUCAAUAAUCUGUUAGAUAACACCACAAAAAAAUCUGUUAGUUAAAAGCUUUUGUUUUCAGUUGAUAUUUUCAUUCAAAAUGUUGGUUCCACUACUAAUUACUUGGCAAUUUCAUAGCUAAAGUUAUGUUCUUAUUUUGAUACUUUUCCUGAUUUCUUUCUUCAAAAUACCUGGUUAUAUUUCUAACUGCACAAUAAAAUUCUAAUGAAAACUUACAUUUUUCUUGAUAUAUUUCAUAUUUUCCUUUACAAUCAAAUUCCAUUUCUAAUUGAUCGAUAAUUUGUUGGCUAAUAUUAUGUUUUUCUUUUGAUAUAUUUUAUUCUUUUUUUAAACUGGGCAAAAGAGUUGCCACUUUCAUUGAAUAAGGAGGUUUAGAGUUUUGACCAUAGGCCCAAUUACAGCACAUUACUCUCGCGGCAUCACAUUACUCAAAAAAAUUGCUUCCGCAAGACACCACAACUUGAGUUGGACAGGUUGUUCAAUGAAAAGUCAGCACUGCUUGACCAUUGGGCGCCUGAGUGUGAGCCCCCCGCUUCCUCCUGCGUGCCCUCCCGUCUGCAAUUUUGGGCUCUUCAAUGGAAGGACGCCAUGAUCACGGAUGAGAAGAUGAGAAGAAAGGGUCAAUCCAGUCGGCAUGGGAGUUGGGACGACAAGGGUGUGUGACUCUCCGUAGCAAAUCAAGGCUUUCGGUGGUGCACUCCGUGUCAAUCUAUCUGUCCGUGUGUGCCUUACCCAAGUGCCCAUGGCCGCUGCACGCGCCGCGCACACGACGCAACAGCUCCGGCCGGCCCUGGCGGUGCGGCGACCUCUUCUAUCUUCCUCCUCGCUAUCUAUCUAUCGGGCCAGUGAUCCAUCAUGAGUCCACAUACCACAUGGACCUAGCUAUCAUGCAGUACUCCUAUCUGCUUAAUCGCCACCCCGCAUGUGUGCAUGCAUGCCAUUUGCCAAUGUUCUUUGUUUCCAUUGUUUGAAAUACUACUACAUUCUCUACAUGUGUCCAGCGUCUUAAACUUUCUGGCUCAACUGCUGUCGAUAGUUCUCAAAGGCAAACUAGGCAUGGCAGGUAGGGAGAUGGCGCUGCAUCGCUAGGUUACGGUGAUAUUUGCAAUUACACUGCUUUUUGUACCCUGUGCCGUCGAGACUUGGUGGAUUCAGCACCCAAGGGCAUCUCCAACGCCGUUCUCUAAAACAGACAUAAUAUUUGUCUAUGAAGUUGUUUGGACCUGUCCAUGAACACAGAUGUGGGAGCCGGUCAUUUAACUGCAUCCCCUAAACGAUCAUCUAGGUCUGAUCGAUUGCAUUUCAAAUGCAUAGAUCAUAACGAAAAUAAGACAGAUGUUCAUAGUUUUUACAUGUGCUCGAUCACAAAAGUUUCAGUCCGGCGGCCCGUGCAAAAAAAGGCAUUUUCCCUUGCCAGACCGGUUGCCCGAGCCUUCUCACUCACUCUAUAGCCGGCUCCUCCUCACCAUCAGCCUUCUUCUCGGUCAUCAAGCGUUUCAACAUCUUGACACGGAUGGGCCCACGAUCAUCGAGGCAUGUCAUCCAACUCGUCCAUCUUCACUGUCAACAUUUUGGUAUCCUUCGAAACAGCUGCGAGCUCAACCCUCCUCUCUUUGAGUUUGCUCUUCUUCUUUUCUAAAUUGAUCUUUUUCUCGGUGACAGACAUCAAGAUGUUAAACCUUGCCUUCUGUUGCUCGUUCACGUCGGAACGCUUGACACAUGCCUCCUCCUUCCUCGCCAAAAAUGCACUCGAACCUCUUCACCAUCUUGUCCGCCACCCAUCUCCUCCUCCCACUUCUUUCCUCAGAACACCCUUAUAACUUUUUUGGGUGGCUCUUUUGUUGGGUUGGUUGGAUCAUCAAACGGCAGCGGCGGAAGUGAAGAGUGCGGCGGUGAUCGGAGCGGAGAGGGUGAGGGAAGGAGGGUUUUGGUGCAAAAACAGUGCAGACCGCUCCAUAUGCGCGGGCUCUGUCUCGGUUUGGGCCAGGGGUGUCGGAGUCCAACAUGGCGGAGGUUCAUACUCCCCAGCAAAGCCCGCGUAGCUUGCUUCCGAUUUGCAGGAAAACGGUCACUCGAACAUGUCCACGAACAAAUACGGGUCACCGUUGUAUGGCUUGCAGCGUCCGAACAACUCCGUCGAACGUUUGCAGCCGUUUUUAGAGUUCUUGUUGGAGAUGUUCCUAGGGACGUAGGAAAUGCACCUAAAUGCUUCUUCAUUUUAAUUUUGUUAACCGUGAGAUGCAGGUACGAUGAGUAAUGCUACACGUACAAACGAGUUACAAGGUUUUACAAAAAAGUGUGAAUUUGAUUGGUCAAUAGGUGGGGAGGCGGCCCACCCUCCCCUGAAAAUCAGGGGAGGGGGGGGGGGCAAGUUUGUGAUUGGUUAGUAGAUGGAAAAAAUCCUAGUCAGCAUGUAAUUGCGUGUAACUCUUUGUAUGUUUAGCAUUAUUGAGGUACAACAAUGUGUUUAUAUUUUACUACUACCUUUUUUUAUUAUAAGUUACAGAGCGAGUAGUGGACAAUAUAUAAGUACUACGUGCAUUUCCUUUUUUUCUUCUUUCGGACGAUAAAUAAGGUGAUCUCUCACGAUCAGCUGCGAGCAGUCAAGGACGGGGAAUGCACCAAAUGCUUUUUCAUUUUAUUUUUGUUGGACAACGAUAUUUGAUAACAGUGUGCCCGAUAGAAAAUUUAUCUUAUCUGUCGAUCACCCGCCAGCUAACCAGGUCGACCACCCCGCCAGCUAACCAGGCCGACCACCCAGCUAGCUAAUCAGGCCGAUUGCUGUACAAGGCCCAACAAAAAAUGCCAUCCCCUCACGACGCACUUUCCAGAUCGCAACUUUCCCCCACCCCCUUACCUCCCACGCAAGUAUACCCUCUCUCACCCUCCCCAUCGCCCACACGCCCCUCCCCACCACCCACCCGCCCCUCCCCCCUACACAGCUGCUCAAAAUCAACACCAAAGACCUACCCCUCCUCCAGAUCUGGAUCAAACAAGAGAAGACCAUCAGGGAAGCGGUGGAAAUUACCAGGGAUACGGCGAAGAAAUCACCAGGCAACAUCACCUCACCCUGGUAAGAAUCAAAGACUCAUCCAAAAUCUCCAAAAAAUUCUGCUUAAUACAAAGACUUACCCCACUGCCACCCCACCCCCUCCCAAUCUGUGCAAAAAUUACCAUCCUUUCACCUCUAUAAAACAGAAUAAGCAGACUUCUCUCAUAAUUUUGCCUACUGCAGUGACUUACCAAUCAACUAAUUACAAAAUUACCAGCCCCCCGUAGUUUUUGUUACCAACUUUAUGCAACAAAACAGAGUACCCAAAAAAAUACCACAUUCCCCUGCUACACUAAACACAGAUUUUGUGUUCUACCAUGGAAAAAUAAAGACAAAUAAAGGAGAGAGGACCCUUUAUUGACCACAAAAAUCAUUCUCUCAUACAAUGGAAGAUGCAUUGCAAAAAAGGUUCAUUUUUCAGUCUACAAGAAUGUUAUACUGCAUGAAGUAAACAAGUUAUCAAUCUGUACAUAGAAAAAGUUAUCAUCCAUUUUAGCUAAGUACUAACAUUGGAUAAAGAAAAGUGUUGCCUUUUAAUGGAGAUGCUCAUGUUGUACUGUAAAUUGUCCUGUUUAGUGUUCUUCCCAAUCACCCCUGCGAUUCUUGCCUUCAAACACCUGUGUAAAGAGUAAAACAAAACAAUGAGUUUCAAAAAAAGAGUGAACACGUGUAAAUGUGUACUAACGUGCAAACGUAAAAACAAAUCAAGCAGGAGUAGAUAAAUGGAUGCUAGCAGAGGAGAUAAUGCAGAGGAUGGAGGAGGGGGUAGAAUGCAUGAAGAAGGCGAUGCAGCGCGCACAACAAGCAGCAAUUCAGCAUACCCAAACAUUAUGGGGACAGAUAAAAUUACCAACAUUACUGUUUACAUAUCAUCAUGGAAUGAAAAACCCAAUCUUAUACUUUACUAUUGAAGUGGGUUUGAAAUUUACCAGCAUUGGUGCACACAUAUUACCAGGUCCAAAAAAUGCAAAUUAUCAGGGUUUUUUAGGCAUAAAGAAUACUUUACUAUUGAAGUGGGUUUGAAACUUACCAACAUUGGUGCACACAUAUUACCAUGUCCAUAGGAUGCAAAUUACCAGGGUUUUUUAGGCAGAAAAGAAUGCUUUAUUGUUGAAGUGGGUUUGUAAAUUACCAGCAUUGGUGCACUCAUAAUACCAGGUUCAGAGUAUGCAAAUUACCAGGGUUGUUUAGGCAGAAAAGAAAGAUACAUUCACUGAAUCUUCAGAAAACUACCAUGAUGGAAAACUGUUAUUUAUCAUGUAAUAUUCCACUAAAUCUACCAGGCCAAAUUGCAGGUGCUCGGGCAAUCAGCGCAAACAACAGCUUGCCCAGUGGUGGAACAAGUGCACAUAGUGCUGGAACAAAUGCAAGCACAGGAGCUGGGAGCCUUGGAGACCAGAUAAUAAACGAACCAGCAACUCCAGAAUCUGCUGGGAUCGAUGCUGAUAUGGAAGGCAGCAACAUGGAGGCAUAUUCCACACCUAAGCCACCUUUGCAAGGGACAAAAUUUGACACCCUGGAGAGCGCACGUGACCACUACAGCACCUACGCGCGUAGGACUGGCUUUGCAAUUAGGCAGUAAUUCAAGAAAGAGAGGGUUGAUGGAACUAUAAGCGGGGUGCUACUAGUUUGUACAAAAUAUGGCAAACGACGCAAGGAAAGGGAUGAGAUGCAAGAUGUGGAAAACCCAGCCAGCAUUGUCAAGAAGAGGAAAAAAAGAAAGUUGUUAGGACUGAAUGUGAAGCGCACAUGUACCUAUCCCACGAUGAUGCAUGGUGGACUGCUGACCGUUUCGAGGACACCCACAAUCACCCCCUGAUCAAAAAGCCUUCCCUAACAAAAUUCUUAUCAUCACAUCGAUACAUUCCGAAGGAGGAGCAGGACUUCUUGAGGGUUCUACACGGAUGCAACAUUGAGACUGCGAGGCAAAUGCAGCUGAUGUCAUGGUUCUACAGAAGCACUAAAGACGUACCCUACACGACACAAGACAUUGCUAAUCAACGAGCUAAGUUCCGCUUAGAGCACCGCCACAAGGACGUUGGGAGCACAAUUACAUACUUCCAAGAGAUGAGGGCCAAAGAUUCAUAUUUCUACUGGAGAAUCAAACUUGAUGAUGAGGACAGGGUUGAGAACUUGUUCUGGAUAGAUGGCGCAUCACGCAGGGCAUAUGCAAAGUAUAAUGACUGUUUGUCGUUUGACACGACAUACACGACAUACAUGUACAAGAUGCCAUGUGCACCAUUCAUUGGAAUUAAUAACCAUGGUCAAUCCAUCCAGUUUGGGUGUGGCUUCGUUCGAAAGGAAUAAAAGGAAAACUUUGUGUGGCUGUUUAACACAUUCCUCCAUGCAAUGGGUGGUGUUGCCCCUAAAAACAUCAUCACAGACCAGGACUUUGCAAUGAGGAGUGCGAUCGACGAGGUCUUCUUGAACAUAAUACACAGAAAUUGCCGCUGGCAUAUAAUGAAGAAGGCGCAGGAGAAACUUGGAAAACUUAUGGCUGAUGACAAACCACUAAACAGAGCGUUCAAAGACUGUGUCGACAACAGCUUGACUGAUACGUACCUAAUCUAUUGACGCAUUUUAAUUACCAUGCAGCAAACUUGAGAAGCCAUAUGAAUAUAUGUGAUGCACAAGUUACCAUGUGUGGGUCUACACAAGUUACCAUGAUCUUGUUGGCUAUAUUAUCAGGGGGCAGUUACAAAUGUUGAUACCAACUUGUGGUUUAGAAAAGUUACCAGAUCUAGAAAAACUGUUCAAUAAAGUUACCAUCUAACAACUAAGAAAAGUUAUCAGCAUACUUGUACUUUAAUUACCAAUGAUUGUGUAUGAUGUUGUAAUUGUCUCAUGUUUUGUGUAUCAUAGAGGAAGAGUUUGAAAACAAAUGGUGGGCAAUGAUGGAUGAAUAUGGCCAGAUCGAAAACAAACAUUUUCAAUGGCUGUGAGAAAAUAGGAAAUGUUGGGCCCUAGUGUACUACAUGAAGCAUUUCUUUCCAUUCUUGCAGACAACUGCAAGGAGCGAGGGAUUCAAUGCUGUGCUCAAGAAGUACGUGAACCCCAACAACUCAUUGAUUGAAUUCGCAACUCAAUACACUGCAAUCCAGGAGAAAGUAAUGGUGGCUGUGGCGAAAGAGCAAGUGGACACAAUUUACAAAGAGGCAGACAUGUAUUCGUUGAACCCAAUCGAGUUACAGAUGCGAGGGAUAUACACACAAAAUCUGUUCUCCAAGUUCCAGGUAGAGAUGAAGCUAAAGACUGCUUACGGAUGCGACACUUUGCAAGAUGGAACCUUCAGGAUGUGGUCGCUCCGAGGCAUACUACCAAAGUAUGGGGAUAGGGACUACCAUGUGCAGGCGAACAAGGAUGAAGGGGUAUACUCAUGCACUUGCUGCAAGUUUGAUUGCGAUGGGCUAUUAUGCGCACACAUACUACGAGUAAUGGAACAGAUUGGAGUCUACGAGAUACCAAGGAGGUAUAUCCUGGAUAGGUGGACAUGGGAUCCAGAAGAGGAUCUUGUUUAGCCUGAUUACCAACAGCCAACAGUUAAGAAGGGUAUGACAGAGGAAGGAAAAAAUAUCAUGAGAUAUACAUCUAUUCUGAAUGAUUUCAAGGAACAAGCAAAAGACGCUUGCACUACUGAUGAAGGGAUGGCAUUGGCAAGGAAACAUGUUAAUGCUUUCAGAGACGACAUGGAUGCACUAAAAAAGAGGCAGCUAAAGAAAGUAAGAAAGGAAAAAGAUGAGGGAAAAGAAGCACAAAUGUUUUGUUCACCACCAGGGACUAGUGCCACUGAAGGUGUCCCAGUAGCGCAUCAAGGAAGCAUUCCUGUCACGCAUGUGUCUGGCAAUAUUUUCCAGUUCCAGAGCUCACAUGCCGAGGGAUCCCAAUCAUCAAACACAAGAGUGAUACUAGACCCGGCGUCCGAGAGAGAAAAGAUUCCAGCACCCAUUUGACAUUGCAAAGCCCAAAAAAAGAGGAAGUGUAGAGUUUGCGGGUUGACAUAUCAUGAUAAAUGCAAAUGUACCUCACCCAUCCCGCACUGAGAAAUGCAAGUUAGAUGGGCAUUGAACUGCAAGUUAGAGAUUUUACUUAUCAAUUUUACCCAUUUUAUUGUGUAAAACGGUGUCGAGACACCAUGUAAUGAAAAGUUAUCAGCACUGAAACAUGUAAGUUAUCGUCCAGAAUGUAAUGGGGAUUUUCAGAAAUGAGAAUGAGAUUAGUUAUCGUUCUUUGUUUGUGAGCAAAAUGCUAUGACGCAAUGAAAAAUAAAGUUAUCAACACCUAUUAUAGUAUGUUAUCAGCAUUUACUAUCAUAAUUAUCAGCAAAAAAUGUAUAAAAAAAGAUAGUAAUCAGCCCAGAAAAAAAUGUAUAAAACUAUCAUCGUUCUUAAACAUAAAACUUAUAUUGGUGCAAAUUUCUCACAUCAAUUACUCCUUAUUGAACAAGUGAUAGCGCCAUUGCGUGCAUUUGUUAAGAGGAUGGUCCAGCCACAUUCUUGUCAAUAUCUUCCUCAGCGCCGGGAUCUGCUCCUUAGUUAUUGUUGAGAUAUUUUUACCAUCCCAGAACUCCAAGAUCUUGAACGCGAAGAAACCACAAUCAGUGCUGUAAGGAAAAAAAUAAAAAAUGUGUUAAAAAGCAAAAUAAGAUAAGCAAAAAGGUGAACGAACUUUUAAAAUGCUACACUACUAAGUUACCGGGUAUUUAGUUGAAAAAAAUGAUGGGGUACUAGCCAAAAAACUAACCCAUUGUCCUGUUUGAACACAUCGAUGUACACCAGAUCAUAGUCUUGGAUCUGCUUACUCGAGUCCUUGUACGCAAUCAACCAGGCUUUUUUAAUGCCAUUCAUAAGCUUCGUCGCAUGUGUGAUGAGCGAAGGGCUAUCUUGUGGACGAAGAGAAUCAAGAACUUCAAAUCGUUUUGCCUUGAGAUGAAGGCACAAGACAUACCAAUGCCCGUCCUUUGGUAGACGUCCCAAAUUUUGCAGUGUUGGAAAUAGUAGCUGUUAAAAAAUGUGAACACAUGAACACAAGAAGUUAUGAAGUUAUCAAUGCAUUUACAGUUAAAAAGGCAAAGUUAUCAGGACACUGACAACAUAUGUUACCAGUAGGCAUGCAUGAAAGUUACCACAGAAAGGAAAAAUGUGAACACAUGAACACAAGAAGUUAUCAAUGCAUUUACAGUUAAAAAGGCAAAGUUAUCAGGACACUGACAACAUAUGUUACCAGUAGGCAUACAUGAAAGUUACCACAGAAAAGUAACAUAACUAGGUACCAGCUAAAAUUCUUUAAUGGUACAAUGUCUGACAAAACCAAAAUAAGAGCCUGAUAAAAUUGCCUGUUAGACCAACUAAAAAACAACUUGUACGAUUUAAAAGAAGAAAAGUAUGUAGUUUACAUAAAAAAUUGUACCUGAUUGGUGACUAAGUAUGUAGUUUGCAUCACGACGGAAAUGUUGGAUUAGGAACUUGCUCGUCAUAUCAUGUAUGAGAAGAUAUACUGACAGCAACCAUGGAAAGAUGAUCUUCCCUGGGGGUACAGAAUCAGAAAGAGUUCGGAUGUGGAGCUCUGCAAUAUUAUUCGAAACUUGACCACCUUCUAUCACACUAUUAGCGAGCUCCUCCAAUGUGACCCACCGCCCAUCGAUGUCAAUAACCCUAAUACUGAAAAGCAAACAAAGAAAAAAAAUAGUAUAUAAGCAAAUGUUUUGCCGGUGAGGGGUUAAAAUACUAGAGAAAAGGAUAACAGUAAAUGUCAUUACUGUUUUAUCUUGGAGUCAACUGAAUCAGUGGUGUGCUUGAUAACUUCUGCGUAAAUAACCUCUUCGAGUGCAGAUGCUGUGAGGCCACAAUAUGGAGGCAGAAGGAACUACGAUGGGCGGCUUACCCUAACUUUCCGAAUGUACGAUUUAGGAGUCACACUAGCUAAAUGAUUACCAUAGGGAGGUUGAAUAACUGGUGUAGCAAAUUCAUGGCUGGUGGGGUGGUCUAGAAGAAAAGUGAAGGGAGUUAUCAGAGUUGGGAAUGAUGGAAAGAAAUAUUAUGGGGAAACAAAAAAGAAAAUAAGUUAUCAGAGUUUAGAACAGUAAAUUAUCAACAUGAAGAUAAUGAUGUUAUCAAGGUUGGCAAUAGGAAAAAGUUUGUUAAAUAAAAUCUUCCUAUUAGUGCCUUUUACAGAACCGUAAUUUGCUUUUGCUCUAACAGUGGCACGUUCGACUUCUUCAACCCACAUAUUACAUCAUCGUCUUCAACAUCCGCAUCAUAAACUCGAAAUCGACGGUCUUGAAAAAGUUGCGAUCAGGUCAGUUUGUGAACUGGCAAAAGGAAUGUCAAAUAUGUGGAAAAACAGCUAAAGAAGAAGGUGAUAGAUAGUACAGAAUGAUGAUAUAAUUACUGUAGAGAAAAAAAGGGAAGAAAAUGAGAGGGGUCAGGAUAGUUAAAGGGGCAGCAUAAAUGUAUUAGAAUGGUUUGUAUGUGCAUGCAGGGAAAGGAAGGGGAGGGGUGUAUUUACAGCAUCAAUAAAGGAAACAAAAGGGUUGGAGUUAUCAGCAUGGUGAUAGCAGAAGUUAUCAGGGUAUGAUCACAAAUGUUACCAUUUAAGUAACUAGUUAGCAAAAAAAUAAAUAAAUGAAAACAUGUAGGUAUCUAGUUAGAACAAAAAAUACUAGCACAACAUUCACAAAAAGUUAUCAUGGUGAAAGUUACCAUACGAUAAAAUGGUAAGCUGGAAAACAAGGUACAAAAAUCUUUCAUGUAGAGCGAUGUAUUUAUCAGUUAAAAGUAGAGCGCUACAAUUAUCAGUCAGAGGUUAGCAUGGUGAUAGCAGAAGUUACCACACAAAGGGUUGAAGUUAUCAGCAUGGUGAUAGCAGAAGUUAUCAGGGUAUGAUCACAAAUGUUACCAUUUAAUUAACUAGUUAGCAAAUAAUUAUCAGUCAGAUGUUAGUAAAAGUUACCAGGAAAAAUGAACAAUAAUAAUCACGUAUAAUACAUCCACACACCAGACAACAUAAAAAAUAAAGAGCGCAAAUGUGAAAUGAAAACACAUAGUUCAUUACAUAGCACACACGCAAAAGCAUAAGUCAUUACAUGUGAGAGGGGGGGGGGAGGUUGUCCAUACAUAGGAUAAAAAGAGCAUAAAUAUACACACAAGGAUCAAACUAAAAGCAUAAAAAAAGGUCUUCGAAAAGCAGACAUCCAUCCCAUCACUCUUUUGUGAUAAAACGAAGACACGUAUAUGCCUUCACUUACCAAGGUCAGCAGGCUCAGAGCCUGAAAACGGAUUGGAGUCAAUAGGAUUAUCUUCUGCAUUCUUUAAAUCUCGUGGUGCUGCCGCAAUAUGAUCAAUUGGGGGUGCUGCUGCUCGGUCUUGGGGAGCAUUGUUAACCGUUGGGGCCACUGCUGGUGCUUGAGUUGUCGAAACAACCGCUGGGGGCGGUGUUGGUACUGCAGCUGGGACUGCGGUCGUCGUAAUAAUAUCUGGUCCGGGCAGUGUGGGGCCAAAAUCUAGGCCAAGAGAGCAAGAUGGUGGGGUGAAAUCCUAGUAGGCCCUAUCAGCAACAACAUCUUCUACAUCUGCAUUAAUGCUAAAUUCUUGGGUGGCGACUUGGUCAUCCCCAAGUUGAGCUUCAACAAACACUGCAUCUUCAGUUUCAACUGGUUCUGCCACAUUGGAUUGGGAAGAUUCAACUUGAGCUUGAACAACACAUGGUAUUUUGACAUGAGCUUGGUCAUCUUCAGCUACAACAGCGGUCAUUGGAGGAGCAAUUCCUUGAACUUGAUCAGCAGAAGUUUCAGCUACGGCAGAACUCGUUGAAGGAGCAAUUCCUUGAGGUUGAUCAGCAGAAGUUUCAGCUACAACAACGCUCAUUGGAGGAGCAAUUCCUUUAGGUUGAUCAGCAGAAGUUUCAACUUUAGUGCCAAUAACAACAUUGACAAUUUCUUGUACCACUUGAGUAAUAGUGGCUGCAGCCGCGAGCUCAUCCACAGCUCCAAAACCAGCAUCUGGUGAAUUCCUCGCAGGGGCGUUAUCUUGCACAACAGCUAUUGGAGAACUGACCAUGGGGGAGUCUUUAAAAUCAUCUUUCGCGUCCUUGGGAGCAAAACGAGGAGAAGACCUAGUUGCAACUGCAACUUUAGAAGACUUCGUAACCUUCCUCACAGUAAUCUUGGUCUUCUUGCUGCACACAAAGAAAAAUAAACAUGGACAUCACCAGCUUAUAAAAACAUUAGUUACCAGCUUGUAUUAACAUUAGUUAUCAGAUUAUAUUUGCAUACAACAGCUAAAAAUAACAUUAGUUACCAGCUUAUAUUGACAGAAGUUAACGGCUAAAAAAUAACUUUAGUUACCAGCUUGUAUUCAAAUUAUUUGACAGCUUAUGGCCAACUUGGUUAUCCACAUAAUGCAAAAAAUCAACAUCGUCACGAAUCAUUAAUGAAGAUGGUAACUAUGAAGAUAACAAAGUUACCAACAAAAUUAUCAUGCUAAAAAUAAAUAAAUAUUGUAAAAGCUUCGACUAUAAAAACUACCAGUCAUUCCCGUACAGAUUAUGAUGCCACACAUAAAAGAGUUAAAUUACCGGUAUAUAUUCACCUAAUUUACAAAUGAAAAAUAAACAAAUAGAGAAAAUCAUUUAGAUAUCAUAUAGCAAGGAAAAAUAACAUUCAUAAUCACCUGCGUGACGUGUCAGACGAGUCAACAUCUGCCGAAGAACAUGCGGGAUUACUAGUUAUCUCCUCAGACAUGACACCCACACUGCUAGACCGCGUUUGCUGAAGGUCGGCAACACUAAUAGAUGGAGCAUUCGAACCCCUGACAAGUUAUUAUUUGAAAAAGGAUAUAGUGCACGUGAGAAAAAUGUUACCGUAGACAAAUAACACAUGCUUACCAGCAUAUAACUACUAAAAUUAUCAUGCAAACAAAGUUAAACUACAUAUUGUUCAAAUAAAAAACUGAAGUUAUUAUCGUGAAAAUAGCGACUGAAAGUUAUCAGCCUUACCAUGAUAUAAUUACUAUCCUUUCUAGAAAAAACACAAGCUUGAUAAGGAAUAGAAACUAUCCAGACAUAUUUACUUCUAAUUAUCAGAAGCUAGGUGCUAGGAAAAGUGAUAACACAAAAUAAUAACAACAAGUAAGUAUGUACAUAAAGAAAAAUAAAUAUGGACAUCACCAGCUUAUAAAACAUUAGUUACCAGCUUAUAUUAACAUUAGUUAUCACAUUAUAUUUGCACACAAUAGCUAAAAUAUAACAUUAGUUACCAGCUUAUAUUGACAGAAGUUACCAGCUAAGAAAUGCAAUAUAACAAAUGAAAAUAAAAAGAAAUCAACUAGCAGAUGAUAAGAAACUCACUUGCGAGGAUGUUGCUUCUUCCGCGUGGGAUUGGCAAUUACUGAGUUAGUGCCCUUAUCAGGGCCUACAAUGCCAAGCUCAUUGAUGACUAUUGCCUUGAUAGAACAAUGUGUAUCAUCCAACGACGGCUGGUCAGAAACAGUUGUACCAGUGGCCAUGGGCGGAGAAGGUAGGCGUAAUUUCUUGCGACGCCUGGAAUAUUGCUUUUCCAAGUUACGGGCGAGAGAAGAACCGCACCUCUUCACAGAAGCAUCAACAAUAGCCUCGUUUUGAGUAUCCGUCAUAUCUGGCUGGUUAUGCAAUCCAUCAGUAGAUACAUUCCCGGAACGUGCAGUAAGCAUAAUCUGAGACUCGAGAGGCUGAUCGGUUCCUGCAGUAGCAGUUGUAUCAAUUUCGGCUGACCUUACCGACACAUUGGCAGUUGCAAACAUGGUUGCACCCACAUCUGCAUUUGUUGCGCCACUACCUGAAGCAUCAUGGGCAUUCGGUCCAGCACUACCCCCACUACCUGAAGCCUCAUGGGCGUUCGGUCCACCUGAAGAACCAUGGUAAUGAACGUGAAAAUCUAGAUCUUCGUCAGAGUGACCAUCAGCGCCACCAUCACUAUCCUCAUGAUCAGAAUCUGAACCUUCGACAGUUUGCUUGCCGGUAUCUUUUACUUCACACAAGCGGGAUGCAGGAAGGGUGCUUGCAGUCUUCCCGGCAGCAGAAGAUAAACCCUUUAGUUGGCUCUCUAACACACGGGACAUCCAUGAGCUGUCUUCAUCAUCCAAGGACAUGAACUCAUUAACAAGACCACCCAGGAGGCCAACCAUGCCAGACGAAAAGCGACCCAUAAUAGCAGAAGCUUUAGCAAGUUUCUGAUAGAAAAUCACGAAUGAAAAAACAAAUAAUCAGGUUGUGAGAGACAUUAAGUACCAUGCAAAAACAACUAAAAAUACCACAUAAAGAUAAGUUCAAAUGAAGUUAUUCCAAAGUGAGAAUCUAAAAAAUAAAAAAAGUUACCAUCCUAAAAACAGUACAAGUUACCAGGUCUUUAUAACAAUAUUUACCAGGAAAAAGGAAAACAAAAAUACCCAAACGCACUAAAAAUAUUAAAAAUACCUGUUCGGAACAGUUUUGCGGUGCAUGAACACGCAUGAAUUUAUCUAGACCUUGUAAACCACCAAACAAGCAAUAGUCUUGGCCAUAUUGGGGCUUAAGCUGAAAAAAAUAUGAUAAAAAACAAAUUAAGAUCUUGAUAAAAAAGAUGGCAAUACAUAGAAGGUAAGAAAAAUGACGAAUGGGAAAUUACCGGUAAUUUCCCAUAAGAAAGCAUGUCCCUCUGGACAUCCAUCCGGAGAACUUUCGAUGCCAACUCAUUCGUCCACACAUUAAUUGCAAAAGGACCAUUAGGCAAGAUGAUACCAAGGCCAGUUAAGUCAAUAGCAUCUAUAUACAGAAGCUGGAAAAACAGAAAAGGUUGUUACAAUCUAACUGUUUGGCGGAAUACGACGUACAAUCCAAAUACCAUGGGAACAAAAAAAGAAUAGGGGGACUAACAUUGUAGAAUAGGAGGCAACCCGUCGUAGACUUUCCUUUUGAAAGGGCUUUAUGAAGCUGAUCCACAAUAAAUUUGCACCAGUUGAGGUUUUUUACAUUGCCAAUAUUUUGCUGUGAAAAAAAAGAAAGCACAUGAAACAUAGAGGAAUGUAUGCACACAAGUUAGCAGGGGACAUAAGUAGAUACUUAUAACACUGUUAAAGCAUUGAAUCACCAAGUACAUAAGCACACAAAUACCACAUUAUUGAGAAGUAAGUCAAAUUACCAUAUUGCAAGGCAUAAAUAAAUUAUCAGGUGCAUUACUAAAUAAUUACCAUACUUUCAGAAAAAUUUAUCAGGUGCAUUACUACGUAAUUACCACACCAUCAGAAAAAAGUUAUCACGUGCAUCACUAUGUAAUUACUACACCUUCAUAAAAAGUUAUCUGGUGCAUUACUAUAUAAUUACUACACCUUCAUAUAAAGUUAUCAGGUACAUUAGUACAUAAAUACCACACUUUAGAUCACAGAAAAAUCAAAGGGAUAGAAGUUACCACACUCCAAAAAUCAGGGAAAGUUAUCAAAGUGCAUAUGUGCAUAAUCAUCAGACUAAGAAGCAAAAAAUUACCAGGUAGAAAAACAGAAAAAGAAAAGCGAUAAAAAUCAUGAACUAGAAAGAUAGCCAGAUGUUCUUACCAACACAGGAUACCAUCUGGUGUUGAUCUUGUUCGAAGUCGUCGGCGCCAUCACGGUGCUGGGAGCAAGCACAAGCCACAAGCACUUGAAAUUGUCGUCAUGACGGUUAGUGCUCAAGAUAAGGUUUAAUACAUCCACAGUUUUAGGAGCAUGUCCAAGAUCACCAAAAAGAUCUCCCGCAAGCUCAAGUUGUGCAUCUGUAGGAACCUUGAAAUCCACCGCAAUAUCACCUCGGGGCACACCCAUUAUACGAUGCACAGACUCUUCACUGACCGGUAACCUUCCGCGACCGGGUACAACAACCUCACGGGAAUCAGGGUCGUAUAGACCAGCAAGCCAUUGAGGAAGCUGAUUGAACAGAUUAUCACACUUGAUAUUCCGCAGUUUAGUGAAAUCCAUGUCAUCGAUCGCGGCCAUUCUCUCAUCUGACAUAUCCUUACAGGCAGUCACAAGAGCACUAGGAGAAGCCCUAUUCCGAUCUGCGGGAGGCUUAUGCUUCUUUAAGGGGUUCACCUCCUCAAAGUCAUCAUCUAAUUUGCGCUUCCUUGGCAUCUUGACCAGACACACAAGAAUAACAAAGAGAAAAAGUGAGCAUAAAGGAUGCAUAACUGUUGAAUUAAUAGUCACACACCUAUUCUUAUGAUACAUUGGUAACUUGUGAACAUACAACAAGAUAACUCAUCCACAACAGAGAAGGACGAAAAAAGGGGACAUGUCUGCUUCUACUAGAUAUUGAAUACCUGAUUAUUUUUCUUACGAUACACCAAUAAAAUGUAUGUAUCAGGCAAGAUAACUUAUGCAAAAUAGGGAUGGCAACAACUUACACACAAACACAUAUAUUGGACAUCACAUCACUAAGUAUUAAAAAAUCAGUGACAUGAUAAAAUUUACAGGUGACUCCUGAUAAAUUAUUCACACCACUGAUGGUAAUAUUCACAAUUAAAGUUCAGGUAAGUUAAAUGAUGGCACAUCCAUCAGUUAGAAACACAAAAAUGCAUCAUGAAAAGAGACACCACUGAUAGUGCUAGAACAAACAAUCCAUCAUGACAACCUAAACACAAAACGAGAUGAACUGCAUAUAAAACACAAAAACAGUAUGGGAUUAUCACCAGCAACCUAAUUAUACAGGUGGUAAUUCAAUUCCUUCACUGCAACCAUAAGAGCAUGAUAAAACUGAGCCCAACAUAGAUACAGAGUGAGGAGAGUCGUUGUAAAAUCCUCGCACCAAACCCUACCGGCGACCAAAAUAACGGCAGAAAUCAUCAUAGGAUAACGCCGUCGAAUCAUGAACGGAAACAUAAUGGUUAUGCAUCUAGAGAAAACCCUAGAAAUCAAAAUCGAGCCGUGUAACAGGGGGGGUCAGUUCAAAAACUUACGACAACUACCCACGAAAUUGAAAACGACAAAUUAAGCACUAAAACGAUGUGCAUGCGAAACAGAGGAUAACAAAUAGCAAAUGCACCACGAAUUGAACAUAUUGGGCGCAUUCCUCGUCUGUUCUAACCUGCGACCAAUCUGACGAACAUCCCGCCACUAACGACGUCGAGAAACAAAGCACGAACUAGUGGGGUGGAUGCGAGGGGGAUUGAGCGAUACUCACCAGUGGAACAGAAAACUGCCUCCGAGAAUCGGCCGGAGAAGGCGCCACCGCUCGCCGUCGACGGAGAGAGAGCAGGGGCGGAGCGGCCGAGAAACACAGAGCGGAGCAGCGCACGAUUACCAAAUGAAUCAAGGGGGUGNNNNNNNNNNNNNNNNNNNNNNNNNNNNNNNNNNNNNNNNNNNNNNNNNNNNNNNNNNNNNNNNNNNNNNNNNNNNNNNNNNNNNNNNNNNNNNNNNNNNNNNNNNNNNNNNNNNNNNNNNNNNNNNNNNNNNNNNNNNNNNNNNNNNNNNNNNNNNNNNNNNNNNNNNNNNNNNNNNNNNNNNNNNNNNNNNNNNNNNNNNNNNNNNNNNNNNNNNNNNNNNNNNNNNNNNNNNNNNNNNNNNNNNNNNNNNNNNNNNNNNCGAGCGAGCGGACGUGCAGCGGUGGCCAACACAGCAGCGAGAGAAAAAAAAGAAACGGCUUGCUGGAAUGAGUAACGUGCGUUGGAUUCAAAUUGGCGGCAUCCAAGUGGUGUGGCGUUUUUGCAAUCUAUCACAGUUGUGCCGCGAGCUCAUCCACAGCUCCAAAACCAGCAUCUGGUGAAUUCCUCGCAGGGGCAUUACCUUACACAAUAGCUAUGGAGAACUGACCAUGGGGGAGUCUUUAAAAUCAUCUUUCGCGUCCUUGGGAGCAAAUCGAGGAGAAGACCUAGUUGCAACUGCAACUUUAGAAGACUUCGUAACCUUCCUCACAGUAAUCUUGGUCUUCUUGGUGCACACAAAGAAAAAUAAACAUGGACAUCACCAGCUUAUAAAAACAUUAGUUACCAGCUUAUAUUAACAUUAGUUAUCAGAUUAUAGUUGCAUACAACAGCUAAAAAUAACAUUAGUUACCAGCUUAUAUUGACAGACGUUAAUAGCUAAAAAAUAACUUUAGUUACCAACUUGUAUUUAAAUUAUUUGACAGCUUAUGGCCAACUUGGUUAUCCACAUAAUGCAAAAAAUCAACAUCGUCAUGAAUCAUUAAUGAAGAUGGUAACUAUGAAGAUAACAAAGUUACCAACAAAAUUAUCAUGCUAAAAAUAAAUAAAUAUUGUCACGGAUAGAAAAAGGGCCUGUUGUCCCGGUUCGUCGGGGUCUUUUGUCCCGGUUCUGGAACCGAGACUAAAGGGUCGGUACUAAUGCCCUGUCCCUUUAGUCCCGGUUCAAUCCAGAACGGGGAUAGAUGGGCCUCCACGUGGCCUGUGCGCGGAGCCCAGGCAGGAGACCCUUUGGUCCCGGUUGGUGGCACCAACCGGGACCAAUAGGGAUCCAUGCGUUAGCAUUUCUAUGGUUGGGGUUUUGUCUUUUUGAAGGGGGGGGGGGUUGGGGGUUUUGUGGGGUUAAUUUAGGUGUUUCAUAUAUUGUGUUAGCUAGCUAUAAUUAAUAGAGAGAAGUGUCCUCUCUUAUGUCCGUGCUUGGUCGACGCUACGUACUAUACAUACGUAUAGAGAGGACUAGACACGCUAGCUAGCUAGUAAGCAAACGAAGGAAACAGAAGAUCGUCAUGAACAUAUAUGCAUACAGAGAGAAGUGAUAUCGACCACCUCUCCUUCUCCAAGAGAUUGGUCGAACAACAAGUUCUCGUAUAUCUAUCCGACACUACCGGCUACAUAUAUACAAUAAUUAUCUCUUACAAAUAUAGUCAUACGGACUCAGGGUCCACAUAGUAUUCUCCGUCUUUAGGGAUCACGUGGUCAAGAAAGAAUGCCGCCAAUUCCUCUUGAAUUGCUCGCAUGCGAGGUGGUGCUAGGAGUUCAUCCCACUUUCGAAAUAUCUAAUUUAAAGAAGGGGGUCAAUACAUAUAUAUAUAUAUGAAUGAAUGAAACUCAACACAAAUGAUGGUAAUAAAAUAAAAUUGUGAAUGUUGUUAUUUACGUACUUCAUAUUGUUCGUCAGUGUAGCCCCGCUCACAGGUCGUGUGGCGGAUGGACUCGCAAACGUAGUAUCCACAGAAAUCAUUCCCUUGUUCCUGCCACAACCACUUUACAAGAAAUAGAGGUCAAUCAAACUGAUAAGCAAGAAUGCCAAAUGGUAUUGAUGAAACUAGCGCUUGAAUGACUAGUAGAUGCGCGGAACAUGCUACUAUAGUACUUACUUUCGGGUGUCUAAAUUGCAGCUCCUUCGGUAGUCCCGAAGCUUUUCUGGUGAAUUUUCUCCAAACCCUGCCGGACAAAGAAAACAAUUACUUGAUAUAUCAGGAAAUGAACAAAGUUGCUGAUAUGGUGGAUAAUGAUCGAUUUAACUUACUUCUCGAGUAUUUGAGUCAUGUCUGCAUAGUCCUGGGGAUCUUUUCGUCUUGAGUCUAAGACGGUUACUAGUCCCUGCUCAAGCUUAAUAUCUAGGAGAAUAUAGUGGAAACUGCACACGCAUGCAUAACUCAUCAAUUACAUUACUAUAACCUUGACUAAUAUAUAAGGGAAACCGAAUAUGCACAAGACAGUAACACUCACUUGAAGUUGUAAGGAAAGAGUAUUAUAUCUUUGUUUUCAUUUAUUACCAACGAUCGUAGCAAGUUGGCCUCGGUAGCUGCGGCAUGAAAUUUGACCUGAGUUGCAUCUAUGAGAUAUGUGUUAAUGAACCCAAUAUCACCGACUUGUCUUUUCUUCAAUUCGGCGAUCUUCAAUCUGCAUAAUAUAGUGAGGAUGAUUAUAAAUACAUGCAAUGAAAGAGCUGAGCUAUAUAGAGAGACUUAAUGACAGAAGUAGUACUACUUACAGACAGUAGCAGGCGACCGUUGUUUUAUCGAGGGACAAUUGAUUGAAAAACUGAUAGAACUCCUCAAAUGGAACAGGCAACCGUUCAAUUCCAACGAGGUCAUGCUCCUUUUUAACUUUCACAUACAAAGUACUCCUCCCCCCAGAGUCUCUGCAGAUUUUCAAGUACCAAUCAUGAAAUCUUCGCAUCAUCGUUGAUAGAGAUCUUUCAUCUUUGACGAGAGGCUUCCCGUACUCAUAUCUUUAUAUCUGCACCUCCAUGGGUUCAUAAUGUACAUCGUCGGGCAGGUAAUCUGCAAGAUUGUUAUAACCGGGCACCAUCCUCGGAUCAUUAGCGACGUUGUGGCUAGGCACCUUGAGAGGGGGGCACGAUUGCUUCGCUUGUUCGCCGAGCUGGGCAAUCUGUUUCCUAGCUCGUCGUUCUUUCAGCCUUUGAUCACUGACAGUACUUCCCGACCGCUCCGCUUCGGCAAAUUCCUUUCCAAUAAUGCGCUCAUAGUUUCCUUUCGGUGGAGACUUGGGUGGUUUUGUCAGGGCAGCCAGAGUGCACUUCGCUUUCACCGGAUCUACCUUAUCCUCCGGAAGUGGAUGUCUCUUUGCUUUCAACCCUUGAAACCAGUCGUCCACUUCGGUUCGUGCAAUCUCGGCAUACUCCUCCGGGGUCCUCUCAUAUGGUAACUUCUCUGGAGUCUUCAGAGAAGGACCGAAUCUGUAUGUCCUCCCGCCUCUGGCUGUACUGCUAGAUGUCGGCCGAGCAGACGGAACGGUUGUCUUCUUUACUUGCUUACGAGGCGGAGGAGAAGGACUAUGACGCGCCGGAGCGGCGGCAGGUCUCUUCCGCCCUUGCUGACGAGGCAGAGAAGGAGGAGGCUGGCUGCUCGGGCGCGUCGGCGCAGGCGGAGAAGGAGGCGGAGUGCCGCCACGCGCUGGAGAAGGAGCCAGUCGAGUGCCCUGAUCGUCACUCGCCGGAGGAGGAGGCGGUGGAGGAGGCGGAGUGCCCUGACUCGCCGGAGGAGGAGGCGGUGGAGGAGGCGGAGUGCCCUGACUUACCGGAGGAGGAGGAGGUGGAGGUGUCCAGUUCGGAAGGUUGAUGAGCUCCUUCCGCCAUAGGCAUGGAGUCUUCAGAGCAGACCCCAGCCUAGUCUCCCCUUCACCGGUAGGGUGGUCAAGCUGGAGGUCCUCAAAUCCCUCCGUUAUUUCAUCCACCAUCACCCUAGCAUAUCCUUCUAGAAUCGGCCGGCAGUGAAAAGUUGCUCCAGGUUCAGUAGGAUAAACAGAGCCAACAGCCGCCUUGACCUUCAAAUUCAUCCAUUGCGUCAUAAGGUGGCAAUUUUGAGACUCCAUGAUAGCAUCCACGGGAUAGCUGGCAGGAGCCGUCAAGGCAUGCUCCGGCUGAAGCAGCUCGGUGGAAGCCACGCUGCUUCUCCACUGAGAUGGCGGGGUAGCUUUGGGGGAAGCUUCGGCAGUACGUUUGCUGCGAUUUGCUUCUCGUUCCUCUAUCGCUUGUACCCUUGCUUGCAGCACCUGCAUUUGGGUCUGCUGCACUUGUUUCCUCCUCUCAUGGGAUUUUUAACCGCCUGCGUCCGGAAACCCAACCUUCCACGGAAUGGAGCCUGGCGUGCCUCGUGUCCGUCCAGGGUGCUCAGGAUUCCCGAGGGCCAUUGUGAGCUCAUCGUUCUCUCUGUCUGGAAAGAACGUCCCUUGCUACGCUGCUUCGAUAUAGUGUUGAAGCUUCCUGACUGGUAUGUCCAUUUGAUCAUUCGUCCAAAUGCACUUCCCUGUUACAGGGUCCAAGGUUCCGCCAGCACCGAAGAACCAAGUCCGGCAACGGUCUGGCCAGUUAAUUGUCUCUGGUUCGAUGCCUUUAUCAAACAGAUCAUUCUCAGUCUUGGCCCACUUAGGCCGGGCUACGAGGUAGCCACCUGACCCCGUGUGAUGGUGAUGCUUCUUCUUCGCAGCAUUUUGCUUGUUUGUCGCCGACAUCUUCUUACUCUUUUCCGAUGUCUAGUGGGCCACAAAUGCAGGCCAGUGAUCUCUGAUCAUCUCAUAUCUGCCCUUGAAUUCUGGUGUCUUAUUAUUUUCGACAAACUUAUUCAGCUCUUUAUUCCACCUCCUGAAUAGUUCUGCCAUCCUCUUAAGAGCAAAAGACUUGAUUAAUUGCUCUUUAACUAGCUUCUCUAGAUUAUCCUCUGGCGGUAGGGUGAAAUUUGACUUCAGCUCAGUCCAAAGAUCAUUUUUCUGCAUAUCAUUGACAUAAGACACCUCAAGGUCUUCUGUAGCCGGCUUAAACCAUUGCUGGAUGCUGAUCGGGAUCUUGUCCCUAACCAAAACCCCGCACUGAGCAACAAAUGCGCUCUUUGUCCGGAGGGGUUCAAUCGGUUGGCCGUCGGGCGCGAUUGCUAUGAUCUCAAACUUUUCAUCCGAGCUCAACUUUUUCUUCGGGCCUCGUCUCUUUACCGAAGUUGUGCUCGAUCCGGAGGGCUAGAAAAAAGAACAAAGACUUAAUUAAUAUGUGUACAUACCAAAACAAUGAAUGCAUCAAUUAGCUAGUCAGCAGAAGCUUAACUAAUAUAUAUACCUGGCCGGACUCGGUUCGGUCACCGGAGACGUCAUCACGGUCUCCUUCUUGCACCGGCAUUGGGUCACCGGAGCCGUCCUCACGGUCUCCUUCUUGCACCGGCAUUAGGUCACCGGAGCCAUCAUAAUCAGCUGGUUCCAGACCAUCGGUCUCGUUGAGAAACAACGAGCAGAUGCAUCACUUCCUCAUGCGAUUAUGUCUCCCAACAACUCUUCUUGUACUUCGUCUCGGGCAGUGUCCAUAGUUUCUACAAAUAUUGACAACAUGGCAAUUAUUAUUCAAACAUGACAGAUGGAUAUAUUAGUGGCAAAAACGUAGAACUAAUAUUAAUUAGUGGCCUCGACGCUGCUUCUCUAGGGUUUGGGGUGGCCUCGACGCUGCUUCUCUAGGGUUUGGGGUGGCCUCGACAACGCUUCAAGGAUAAAAAAAGAAGAGGAAGAAGAAAAAAAAGAGGAGAAGAAAGAAUAGAGGAGUAAGAACUCCUCUAUUCUUUCUUCUCCUCUUUUUUUUUCUUCUUCCUCUUUUUUUUAUCGGGAACGAGGGUCGUCGAGGGUCACCGAGCGAUAGAGGAAACCCUAAAUAGCAAGUAUCGUGGGUGUGAGAUACAUGUGGCCGUCGGUGUCGGACACUACAUCCACGUCCCACAAGUGACGUGGAUGUAGUGUCCGACACCGACNNNNNNNNNNNNNNNNNNNNNNNNNNNNNNNNNNNNNNNNNNNNNNNNNNNNNNNNNNNNNNNNNNNNNNNNNNNNNNNNNNNNNNNNNNNNNNNNNNNNNNNNNNNNNNNNNNNNNNNNNNNNNNNNNNNNNNNNNNNNNNNNNNNNNNNNNNNNNNNNNNNNNNNNNNNNNNNNNNNNNNNNNNNNNNNNNNNNNNNNNNNNNNGUACAUGUAUCUCACACCGACGAUACUUUCUAUUUAGGGUUUCUCCUCUACCGCUCGGCGACCCUCGACGACCCUCGUUCCCGAUAAAAAAAAGAGGAAGAAGAACAAAAAAAAGAGGAGAAGAAAGAAUAGAGGAGAAGAACUCCUCUAUUCUUUCUUCUCCUCUUUUUAUUCUUCUUCCUCUUCUUUUUUUAUCCUCUUCUUCCUCUCAUGUUCGAGAGGAUCGCCGAGGGGUCGGGAGGUUGCCUAGUGUCAAAGGAUUCAACAAAACCAUGUCUUCAUCAUUAGGCGAAAGUAACAGGUGCAUGAUGGUACGAAGCUCUCCAAAGUUAUUUUGGAACGGAGUCCUAGAUAAGAUAAUUCGCUUUUUGGUACAAAGUUCAACAAGAACCUUCCAAAUAUCAUUAUUUGGAAGGCAUUUGCUGAAAUUCAUACAAAAAGGCAAAUUAUCCUAUCCGGGACACCAUUCCAAAAUAACUUUGGAGGACUUCGUCAUGCCCUGGUUACUUCCGACUAAUGAUGAAGCCAUGGAUUUCUUCAAUACUUUGACACUAGGAAACCUCUCUCGGCCCCUCGGAGAUUCUCGACCCCUCGAACCCUCGACGACCCUGGAACCCUCGACCCCUAGACGACCCUGAAACCCUCGACCCUCGAUCCCUCGACCCUAUAGAACCCUCGAAGAAAGAAAUAGCUAGAGGAGAAGAUCAAAGAAAAAAAGAAGAAAAAAAAGAGGAGAAGAAGAAAGGAAUAGUGGAGAAGAAGAGAAAAUAGAUAAGGAAUAGUGGAGAAGAAGAGAAAUAGAAUACUCUAUUUUCUCUUCUUCUCCACUAUUCCUUUCUUCUUCUCCUCUUCUUUUCCUUCUUUUUUCUUCUUAUUUAUUUCUCCUCUUCUUUUCCUCUCCUCUUCUUCUUUCUUUCCUCUUCUUAUUUUCUUCUUUCCUAUCCUUCCUUUUCUUAUAAAUUUUAGCAUAUUCUAAAUUUUCUUCUAACUUUCUAUAUAUGAACAAAAAACUUUCUAUGAACAAAAAACUUUCUAUAUAUAUAUGAAAAAAAAUUCUAUGAACAAAAAAAUUAAACUAACAUACACAUAUACAUUAUACAUUGUAUAUGAACAUUAUACAUACACAUAUACAUACACAUAUACAUUAUACAUACACAUAUACAUUAUACAAAAUUUUCUGUGAACAUAUACAUACACAUAGCCACAUACGUACAUACACAUAUACAUUAUAUAUAUUUAUGAACAAAAAAAUUAAACUUAAAAAAAUGAAGGGCAGGGGCGGUGCGCGGCGGCCGCGCAAGGCAGGGGAGGCGCACGGCGGCAGCGAAGGGUAGGGGCGGCNNNNNNNNNNNNNNNNNNNNNNNNNNNNNNNNNNNNNNNNNNNNNNNNNNNNNNNNNNNNNNNNNNNNNNNNNNNNNNNNNNNNNNNNNNNNNNNNNNNNNNNNNNNNNNNNNNNNNNNNNNNNNNNNNNNNNNNNNNNNNNNNNNNNNNNNNNNNNNNNNNNNNNNNNNNNNNNNNNNNNNNNNNNNNNNNNNNNNNNNNNNNNNNNNNNNNNNNNNNNNNNNNNNNNNNNNNNNNNNNNNNNNNNNNNNNNNNNNNNNNNNNNNNNNNNNNNNNNNNNNNNNNNNNNNNNNNNNNNNNNNNNNNNNNNNNNNNNNNNNNNNNNNNNNNNNNNNNNNNNNNNNNNNNNNNNNNNNNNNNNNNNNNNNNNNNNNNNNNNNNNNNNNNNNNNNNNNNNNNNNNNNNNNNNNNNNNNNNNNNNNNNNNNNNNNNNNNNNNNNNNNNNNNNNNNNNNNNNNNNNNNNNNNNNNNNNNNNNNNNNNNNNNNNNNNNNNNNNNNNNNNNNNNNNNNNNNNNNNNNNNNNNNNNNNNNNNNNNNNNNNNNNNNNNNNNNNNNNNNNNNNNNNNNNNNNNNNNNNNNNNNNNNNNNNNNNNNNNNNNNNNNNNNNNNNNNNNNNNNNNNNNNNGUCGGGGCAGCCUGGCGGCGUCGGGGCAACUGGCGAGGGAAAUGGUGAAAAUUUCCUAAGUGUUGCUUAUAUAGCUAAGGCAUUGGUCAUGGUUCGUGGCACAAACCAUGACCAAUGCCCCUCUUUAGUCCCGGUUGGUGCCACCAACGAGGACCAAAGGCCGUCGCUUCCCGCCCUUUGGGUUGCUGAAAAGAGGCCUUUGGUCCCGGUUGGUAGCAUCAAACAGGACUAAAGGGGGGCAUUGGUCACGGUUCGUGGCACCAACCGUGACCAAUGCCCCCUUUAGUCCCGGUUGGUGCCACCAACCGAGACCAAAGGCCUUGUGCUGCCCCGCGCCCAAAUGUUUAGUCCCACCUCGCUAGUUGAGAGGGAGCCGCACCUAUUUAUAAGGUGCGGUGCGCCUUCCCUCUCGAUCUCCUCUCUAAAGCAGGCUUUCGGGCCUAACCGUGCAAUUUGUGCCUGUGGGCCUACUGGGCCUCCCGUGGGCCUGAAUCCUGGCCCAUGGUAGGGUUUCUAGUCGUAUUCAGGCCGUGGGUGCCCAGUAGGUGGCACUUUUUUUUGUUUUUUUGUUUUUUUGUUUCUACUUACAACAAAAUACUUAUUGUUGCUAUAUUUAAUUUUUUUUCCAGUUUUUUUGUUUUGUUUUCUGCAUUAUUUAUUUUCUUUUGUUUUUUGCUUUAUUUUUUAAUUCUUUUUGCUUUUAGUUUUAGAAAAAUUAUAAACUUUCUGUUAGUGCCAUUAGUUUUCAAAUUUGAAAACACUUUUUUUGUUNNNNNNNNNNNNNNNNNNNNNNNNNNNNNNNNNNNNNNNNNNNNNNNNNNNNNNNNNNNNNNNNNNNNNNNNNNNNNNNNNNNNNNNNNNNNNNNNNNNNNNNNNNNNNNNNNNNNNNNNNNNNNNNNNNNNNNNNNNNNNNNNNNNNNNNNNNNNNNNNNNNNNNNNNNNNNNNNNNNNNNNNNNNNNNNNNNNNNNNNNNNNNNNNNNNNNNNNNNNNGCUUUAUUUUUUAAUUCUUUUUGCUUUUAGGUCAGCAAAAUUAUAAACUUUCUGUUGCUUUAUUUAUUUUAUUUUGUUUCUACUUACAACAAAAUACUUAUUGUUACUAUUUUUUUUCCAGUUUUUUUGUUUUGUUUUCUGCAUUAUUUAUUUUCUUUUGUUUUUUGCUUUAUUUUUUUAUUCUUAUUGCUUUAGUUUUAGAAAAAUUAUAAACUUUCUGUUAGUGCCAUUAUAAACUUUUUGCUUUUAAUUUGAAUUUUUUGAAAAUUGUUUGAAUCACAAGUUUGUGAUUAACUUACUAAAAAAAUGAGAAUAGAUGCGCUUAUAGAGAAAAUUCAACCUAAAUUCCUAGUAAAUUUCUGUGAAUUUCAGAGAAAUUCACUAUGAAUUUAGGUUAAACUUUUCUCUAUUAGGGCAUCUAUUUUCACUUUGAGAGGAGCUCAACAAGGCAGAGAGGGAAGGGCUUAUAAACCGGUGUGAGCCCCCUUCGGUUGGCGAGGUGGGACUAAACUCUGCCCGCAACGAGGACCAACCCUUUAGUCCCGGUUUGUGGCACAAACCGGGACUAAUGGUCAUGGGCCACGGGCGAGGAGCAAAAUUAUAAACUUUCUGUUAGUGCCAUUAGUUUUAGAAAGUUGAAAGUUGAAAGUUGGCAUGGGCCAAGGACUAAUGGUCAUGGUAUUACGAGGGCCGAACCAUAAGACAUGAAAGCAUUUCAAAUGAACUCUGAAAAGGUUGAAAGUUGGCAUGGUAUCAUAAUUUCACCCACGUAGCAUGUGCAUGUACAAAACGGACAAUGGUAGCAUGUUCGUGUGUUACAAAGUUGGCAUGGUAUCAUCAUAAUAGUUGCGGGAGAAAGUUUUCACUUUUUCUUCGCUUGUGUCAUUUGCUUAUUGCGCCGUAACCAUGGAUAAUCUUCAUUGUUUAUCAGGAUGCUUGGGUCAGCCUUGACAUUGAAGGGAGGAAUUUCAUGAAACUUUUUAGAAUCUUCAGACAUGUCUGUCUUGUCGUCCACUCCCAGGAUGUCCCUUUUUCCUGAAAGAACUAUGUGGCGCUUUGGCUCAUCGUAUGAUGUAUUCGCUUCCUUAUCUUUUCUUUUUCUCGGUUUGGUAGACAUGUCCUUCACAUAGAUAACCUGUGCCACAUCAUUGGCUAGGACGAACGGUUCGUCAGUGUACCCAAGAUUUUUUAGAUCCACUGUUGUCAUUCCGUAUUGUGGGUCUACCUGUACCCCGCCGCCUAACAGAUUGACCCAUUUGCACUUAAACAAAGGGACCUUAAAAUCAGGUCCGUAGUCAAGUUCCCAUAUGUCCACUAUGUAACAAUAAUAUGUGUCCUUUCCGCUCUCGGUUGCUGCAUCAAAGCGGACACCACUAUUUUGGUUGGUGCUCUUUUGAUCUUGGGCGAUCGUGUAAAAUGUAUUCCCAUUUAUGUCGUAUCCUUUGUAAGUCAAUACAGUCAAAGAUGGUCCCCUGGACAACAAGUACAACUCAUCACAAAUAGUGUUGUCACCUCUCAGACGUGUUUCUAACCAACUGCUGAAAGUCCUGAUGUGUUCACAUGUAAUCCAGUCGUCGCACUGCUCCGGGUGUUUGGAGCGCAGACUAUUCUUGUGUUCAUCGACAUACGGGGUCACCAAGGUAGAGUUCUGUAGAACUGUGUAGUUUGCUUGAGACCAAGAAUAUCCGUCCCUGCAUAUUAUUGAGUCUCUUCCAAGAGUGCCUUUUCUAGUCAGUUUCCCCUCAUACCGCGAUUUAGGGAGACCUAUCUUCUUAAGGCCAGGAAUGAAGUCAACACAAAACCCGAUAACAUCCUCUGUUUGAUGGCCCAUGGAGAUGCUUCCUUCUGGCCUAGCGCGGUUACGGACAUAUUUCUUUAGGACUCCCAUGAACCUCUCAAAGGAGAACAUAUUGUGUAGAAAUACGGGCCCCAGGAUGACAAUCUCGUCAACUAGAUGAACUAGGACGUGCGUCAUGAUAUUGAAGAAGGAUGGUGGGAACACCAGCUCGAAACUGACAAGACAUUGCGCCACAUCACUCCUUAGCCUUGGUACGAUUUCUGGAUCGAUCACCUUCUGAGAGAUUGCAUUGAGGAAUGCACAUAGCUUCACAAUGGCUAAUCGGACGUUUUCUGGUAGAAGCCCCCUCAAUGCAACCGGAAGCAGUUGCGUCAUAAUCACGUGGCAGUCAUGAGACUUUAGGUUCUGAAAUUUUUUCUCUGGCAUAUUUAUUAUUCCCUUUAUAUUCGACGAGAAGCCAGUCGUGACCUUCAUACUGAGCAGGCAUUCAAAGAAGAUUUCUUUCUCUUCUUUCGUAAGAGCGUAGCUGGCAGGACCUUUAUACUGCUUCAGAGGCAUGCCGUCUUUUUCGUGCAAACGGUGCAGGUCCUCCCGCGCCUCAGGUGUAUCUUUUGUCUUCCAAUACACGCCCAAGAAGCCUAGCAGGUUCACGCAAAGGUUCUUCGUCACGUGCAUCACGUCGAUUGAGGAGUGGACCUCUAGGUCUUUCCAGUAGGGUAGGUCCCAAAAUAUAGAUUUCUUCUUCCACAUGGGUGCGUGUCCCUCAGCGUCAUUCGGAACAGCUAGUCCACCGGGACCCUUUCCAAAGAUUACGUAGUGUAAAUCAUUGACCAUAGCAAGCACGUGAUCACUGGUGUGCAUGGCGGGCUUCUUCCGGUGAUCUGCCUCGCCUUUGAAAUGCUUGCCUUUCUUUCGACAUUGAUGGUUGGUUGGAAGAAAUCGACGAUGGCCCAGGUACACAUUCUUCCUGCAUUUGUCCAGGUAUAUACUUUUAGUGUCAUCUAAACAGUGCGUGCAUGCGUGGUAUCCUUUGUUUGUCUGUCCUGAAAGGUUACUGAGAGCGGGACAAUCGUUGAUGGUCACGAACAGCAACGCCUUAAGGUUAAAUUCCUCAUGUCUGUGCUCAUCCCACGUACAUACACCGUUUCCAUUCCACAGCUGUAAAAGUUCUUCAACUAAUGGCCUUAGGUACACAUCAAUUUCGUUGCCGGGUUGCUUAGGGCCUUGGAUGAGAACUGGCAUCAUAAUGAACUUCCGCUUCAUGCACAUCCAAGGAGAAAGAUUAUACAUACAUAGAGUCACGGGCCAGAUGCUGUGAUUGCUGCUCUGCUCCCCGAAAGGAUUAAUGCCAUCCGCGCUUAAAGCAAACCAUACAUACCUUGGGUCCUUUGCAAACUCAUCCCAGUACUUUCUCUCGAUUUUUCUCCACUGCGACCCGUUAGCAGGUGCUCUCAACUUCCCAUCUUUCUUUCGGAUCUCACUGUGCCAUCGCAUCAACUUGGCAUGCUCUUCGUUUCUGAACAGACGUUUCAACCGUGGUAUUAUAGGAGCAUACCACAUCACCUUCACAGGAACCCUCUUCCUGGGGGGCUCGCCGUCAACAUCACCAGGGUCAUCUCGUCUGAUGUUAUACCGCAAUGCGCCACAUACCGGGCAUGCGUUCAGAUCCUUGUAUGCACCGCGGUAGAGGAUGCAGUCAUUAGGGCAUGCAUGUAUCUUCUCCACCUCCAAUCCUAGAGGGCAUACGACCUUCUUUGCUGCGUAUGUACUGUCGGGCAAUUUGUUAUCCUUUGGAAGCUUCUUCUUCAAUAUUUUCAGUAGCUUCUCAAAUCCUUUGUCAGCUACAACAUUCUCUGCCUUCCACUGCAACAAUUCUAGUACGGUACCGAGCUUUGUGUUGCCAUCUUCACAAUUGGGGUAUAACCCUUUUUUGUGAUCCUCUAACAUGCGAUCGAACUUCAGCUUCUCCUUUUGACUUUCGCAUUGCGUCCUUGCAUCGACAAUGACCCGGCAGAGAUCAUCAUCAUCGGGCACAUCGUCUGGUUCCUCUUGAUCUUCAGCAGCUUCACCCGUUGCAGCAUCAUUGGGCACAUCAUCUGGUGCCUCUUGAUCGUCACCAGCUUCCCCCGUUGCAGCAUCACCGUAUUCAGGGGGCACAUAGUUUUCAUCGUACUCUUCUUCUUCGUCGUCUUCCAUCAUAACCCCUAUUUCUCCGUGCCUCGUCCAAACAUUAUAGUGUGGCAUGAAACCCUUGUAAAGCAGUUGGGAGUGAAGGAUUUUCCGGUUAGAGUAAGACCUCGUAUUCCCACAUUCAGUGCAUGGACAACACAUAAAACCAUUCUGCUUGUUUGCCUCAGCCGCAUCGAGAAACUCAUGCACGCCCUUAAUGUACUCGCGGGUGUGUCUGUCACCGUACGUCCAUUACCGGCUCAUCUGCGUGCAUUAUAUAUAAUUAAGUGUCCAAAUUAAUAGAAGUUCAUCAUCACAUUAAAACCAAAGUGCAUACAUAAUUCUCAUCUAACAACAUAUAGCUCUCCAGAGCAUCUAAUUAAUUAAACCAUACAUUGAAACUAUGUAAAAUAUUUCAAUGCGAAAACAAAUGCGAUCAUAAUCGCAACCAAGGUAACAAUUGAUCCGACGGCAUAAUGAUACCAAAGCCUCGGUAUGAAUGGCAUAUUUUCUAAUCUUUCUAAUCUUCAAGCGCAUUGCAUCCAUCUUGAUCUUGUGAUCAUCGACGACAUCCGCAACGUGCAACUCCAAUAUCAUCUUCUCCUCCUUAAUUUUUUUAUUUUUUCCUUCAACAAAUUGUUUUCUUCUUCAACUAAAUUUAACCUCUCGACAAUAGGGUCGGUUGGCGUUUCCGAUUCACAUACAUCCUACAUAAAUAAAAUCUAUGUCACGUUGGUCGGCAUAAUUUUCAUAAAUAAUAAAUGAACCAAUAGUUAUAAAGAUAAUAUAUAUACCACAUCCGAAUCAUAGACAGGACGAGGGCCGACGGGGGCGGAUACCAAAAUCAUCGCACUAUAUAAGAUGCAAUAAUAAAGGUAAGAAAAUAAUACAAGUAUCUAUGUAAACAUACAAGUAAGAAUAUUUUUCCUUUCAGAAAGAAGAUAAAACAAGAGGCUCACCACGGUGGUGCCGGCGAUGAGCUCGGCGCGGGUGAUCGACGGCGGUGAAGACGGGGACGGGGCGUGACGGACCGCUAAACCUAGACAAAUAUUAUGGAAAAUGGAGCUUGGAGGUCGAGCUUGGAGAGGAGAAAGCUUAAGUAGUGUGGUCGGGCAUUCCAUCGAACACCUUGUGUGCAUAGGAGGUGAGCUAGAGCACCAUCAAGCCCUCUCCCCCUCGGCCAGAGAAAAACAGAGCACUGGGGUGCUCUGCUCGCGAGCGAGGGGUAUAUAUAGGCACCUCAUUGGUCCCGGUUGGUGACAUGAGCCGGGACUAAAGGGGAGCCUUUGGUCCCGGUUCAAGCGACCAACCGGGACCAAUGGUGGUGGGCCAGGAGCGAGGCCCAUUGGUCCCGGUUCGUCCCAUCAACUGGGACCAAAAGGUCCAGAUGAACCGGGACCAAUGGCCCACGUGGCCCGGCCGGCCCCCUGGGCUCACGAACCGGGACCAAUGACCAUAUUGGUCCCGGUUCUGGACUGAACCGGGACUAAUGGGCUGACCCGGCCUGGACCAAAGCCCUGUUUUCUACUAGUGUGUAAGAGCUUUGACUAUAAAAACUACCAGUCAUUCCCGUACAGAUUAUGAUGCCACACAUAAAAGAGUUAAAUUACCGGUAUAUAUUCACCUAAUUUACAAAUGAAAAAUAAACAAAUAGAGAAAAUCAUUUAGAUAUCAUAUAGCAAGGAAAAUAACAUUCAUAAUCACCUGCGUGACGUGUCAGACGAGUCAACAUCUGCCGAAGAACGCGCGGGAUUACUAGGUAUCUCCUCAGACAUGACACCCACACUUCUAGACCACGUUUGCUGAAGGUCGGCAACACUAAUAGAUGGAGCAUUCGAACCCCUGACAAGUUAUUAUUUUAAAAAGGAUAUAGUGCACAUGAGAAAAAUGUUACCAUAGACAAAUAACACAUGCUUACCAGCAUAUAACUACUAAAAUUAUCAUGCAAACAAAGUUAAACUACAUAUUGUUCAAAUAAAAAACUGAAGUUAUUAUCGUGAAAAUAGCUACUGAAAGUUAUCAGCCUUACCAUGAUAUAAUUACUAUCCUUUCUACAAAAAACACAAGCUUGAUAAGGAAUAGAAACUAUCCAGACAUAUUUACUUCUAAUUAUCAGAAGCUAGGUGCUAGGAAAAGUGAUAACACAAAAGAGUAACAACAAGUAAGUAUGUACACAAAGAAAAAUAAACAUGGACAUCACCAGCUUAUAAAACAUUAGUUACCAGCUUAUAUUAACAUUAGUUAUCAGAUUAUAUUUGCACACAACAGCUAAAAUAUAACAUUAGUUACCAGCUUAUAUUGACAGAAGUUACCAGCUAAGAAAUGCAAUAUAACAAUUGAAAAUAAAAAGAAAUCAACUAGCAGAUGAUAAGAAACUCACUUGCGAGGAUGUUGCUUCUUCCGCGUGGGAUUGGCAAUUACUGAGUUAAUGCCCUUAUCAGGGCCUACAAUGCCAAGCUCAUUGAUGUCUAUUGCCUUGAUAGAACAAUGUGUAUCAUCCAACGACGGCUGGUCAGAAACAGUUGUACCAGUGGCCAUGGGCGGAGAAGGUAGGCGUAAUUUCUUGCGACGCCUGGAAUAUUGCUUUUCCAAGUUACGGGCGAGAGAAGAACCGCACCUCUUCACAGAAGCAUCAACAACAGCCUCGUUUUGAGUAUCCGUCAUAUCUGGCUGGUUAUGCAAUCCAUCAGUAGAUACAUUCCCGGAACGUGCAUAAUCUGAGACUCGAGAGGUUGAUCAGUUCCUGCAGUAGCAGUUGUAUCAAUUCCGGCUGACCUUACCAACACAUUGGCAGUUGCAAACAUGGUUGCACCCACAUCUGCAUUCGCUGCGCCACUACCUGAAGCAUCAUGGGCAUUCGGUCCAGCACUACCCCCACUACCUGAAGCCUCAUGGGCGUUCGGUCCACCUGAAGAACCAUGUUAAUGAACGUGAAAAUCUAGAUCUUCGUCAGAGUGACCAUCACCGCCACCAUCACUAUCCUCAUGAUCAGAAUCUGAACCUUCGACAGUUGGCUUGCCGGUAUCUUUUACUUCACACAAGCGGGAUGCAGGACGGGUGCUUGCAGUCUUCCCGGCAGCAGAAGAUAAACCCUUUAGUUGGCUCUCUAACACAUGGGACAUCCAUGAGCUGUCUUCAUCAUCCAAGGACAUGAACUCAUUAACAAGACCACCCAGGAGGCCAACCAUGCCAGACGAAAAGCGACCCACAAUAGCAGAAGCUUUAGCAAGUUUCUGAUAGAAAAUCACGAAUGAAAAAACAAAUAAUCAGGUUGUGAGAGACAUUAAGUACCAUGCAAAAACAACUAAAAAUACCACAGAAAGAUAAGUUCAAAUGAAGUUAUUCCAAAGUGAGAAUCUAAAAAAUAAAAAAAAGUUACCAUCCUAAAAACAGUACAAGUUACCAGGUCUUUAUAACAAUAUUUACCAGGAAAAAGGAAAACAAAAAUACCCAAACGCACUAAAAAUAUUAAAAAUACCUGUACGGAACAGUUUUGCGGUGCAUGAACACGCAUGAAUUUAUCUAGACCUUGUAAACCACCAAACAAGCAAUAGUCUUGACCAUAUUGGGGCUUAAGCUGAAAAAAAUAUGAUAAAAAACAAAUUAAGAUCUUGAUAAAAAAGAUGGCAAUACAUAGAAGGUAAGAAAAAUGACGAAUGGGAAAUUACCGGUAAUUUCCCAUAAGAAAGCUUGUCCCUCUGGACAUCCAUCCGGAGAACUUUCGAUGCCAACUCAUUCGUCCACACAUUAAUUGCAAAAGGACCAUUAGGCAAGAUGAUACCAAGGCCAGUUAAGUCAAUAGCAUCUAUAUACGGAAGCUGGAAAAAUAGAAAAGGUCGUUAUAAUCUAACUGUUUGGCGGAAUAAGACGUACAAUCCAAAUAUCAUGGGAACAAAAAAAGAAAUGGGGGACUAACAUUGUAGAAUAGGAGGCAACCCGUCGUAGACUUUCCUUUUGAAAGGGCUUUGUGAAGCUGAUCCAUAAUAAAUUUGCACCAGUUGAGGUUUUUUACAUUGUCAAUAUUUUGCUGCGAAAAAAAAGAAAGCACAUGAAACAUAGAGGAAUGUAUGCACACAAGUUAGCAGGGGACAUAAGUAGAUACUUAUAACACUGUUAAAGCAUUGAAUCACCAAGUACAUAAGCACACAAUUACCACAUUAUUGAGAAGUAAGUCAAAAUUACCAUAUUGCAAGGCAUAAAUAAAUUAUUAGGUGCAUUACUAAAUAAUUACCAUACUUUCAGAAAAAGUUAUCAGGUGCAUUACUACGUAAUUACCACACCAUCAGAAAAAAGUUAUCACGUGCAUCACUAUGUAAUUACUACACCUUCAUAAAAAGUUAUCCGGUGCAUUACUAUAUAAUUACUACACCUUCAUGUAAAGUUAUCAGGUGCAUUACUACAUAAAUACCACACUUUAGAUCAUAGAAAAAUCAAAGGGAUAGAAGUUACCACACUCCAAAAAUCAGGGAAAGUUAUCAAAGUGCAUAUGUGCAUAAUCAUCAGACUAAGAAGCAAAAAAUUACCAGGUAGAAAAACAGAAAAAGAAAAGCGAUAAAAAUCAUGAACUAGAAAGAUAGCCAGAUGUUCUUACCAACACAUGAUACCAUCUGGUGCUGAUCUUGUUCGAAGUCGUCGGCGCCAUCACGGUGCUGGCAGCAAGCACAAGCCAUAAUCGCUUGAAAUUGUCGUCAUGACGGUUAGUGCUCAAGAUAAGGUUUAAUACAUCCACAGUUUUAGGAGCAUGUCCAAGAUCACCAAAAAGAUCUCCUGCAAGCUCAAGUUGUGCAUCUGUAGGAACCUUGAAAUCCACCGCAAUAUCACCUCGGGGCACACCCAUUAUACGAUGCACAGACUCUUCACUGACCGGUAACCUUCUGCGACCGGGUACAACAACCUCACGGGAAUCAGGGUCGUAUAGACCAGCAAGCCAUUGAGAAAGGCGAUUGAACAGAUUAUCACACUUGAUAUUCCGCAGACUAGUGAAAUCCAUGUCAUCGAUUGCGGCCAUUCUCUCAUCUGACAUAUCCUUACAGGCAGUCACAAGAGCACUAGGAGAAGCCCUAUUCCGAUCUGCGGGAGGCUUAUGCUUCUUUAAGGGGUUCACCUCCUCAAAGUCAUCAUCUAAUUUGCGCUUCCUUGGCAUCUUGACCAGACACACAAGAAUAACAAGAGAAAAAGUGAGCAUAAAGGAUGCAUAGCUGUUGAAUUAAUAGUCACACACCUAUUCUUAUGAUACAUUGGUAACUUGUGAACAUACAACAAGAUAACUCAUCCACAACAGAGAAGGACGAAAAAAGGGGACAUGUCUGCUUCUACUAGAUAUUGAAUACCUGAUUUUUUUUCUUACGAUACACCGAUAAAAUGUAUGUAUCAGGCAAGAUAACUUAAGCAAAAUAGGGAUGGCAUCAACUUACACACAAACACAUAUAUUGGACAUCACAUCACUAACUAUUAAAAAAUCAGUGACAUGAUAAAAUUUACAGGUGACUCCUGAUAAAUUAUUCACACCACUAAUGGUAAUAUUCACGAUUAAAGUUCAGGUAAGUUAAAUGAUGGCACAUCCAUCAGUUAGAAACACAAAAAUGCAUCAUGAAAAGAGACACCACUGAUAGUGCUAGAACAAACAAUCCAUCAUGACAACCUAAACACAAAACGAGAUGAACUACAUAUAAAACACAAAAACAGUAUGGGAUUAUCACCAGCAACCUAAUUAUACAGGUGGUAAUUCAAUUCCUUCACUGCAACCAUAAGAGCAUGAUAAAACUGAGCCCACCAUAGAUACAGAGUGAGGAGAGUCGUUGUAAAAUCCCCGCACCAAACCCUACCGGCGACCAAAAUAACGGCAGAAAUCAUCAUAGGAUAACGCCGUCGAAUCAUGAACGGAAACAUAAUGGUUAUGCAUCUAGAGAAAACCCUAGAAAUCAGGAUCGAGCCGUGUAACANNNNNNNNNNNNNNNNNNNNNNNNNNNNNNNNNNNNNNNNNNNNNNNNNNNNNNNNNNNNNNNNNNNNNNNNNNNNNNNNNNNNNNNNNNNNNNNNNNNNNNNNNNNNNNNNNNNNNNNNNNNNNNNNNNNNNNNNNNNNNNNNNNNNNNNNNNNNNNNNNNNNNNNNNNNNNNNNNNNNNNNNNNNNNNNNNNNNNNNNNNNNNNNNNNNNNNNNNNNNNNNNNNNNNNNNNNNNNNNNNNNNNNNNNNNGGCAACUACCCACGAAAUUGAAAACGACAAAUUAAGCACUAAAACGAUGUGCAUGCGAAACAGAGGCUAACAAAUAGCAAAUGCACCACAAAUUGAACGUAUUGGGCGCAUUCCUCGUCUGUUCUAACCUGCGACCAAUCUGACGAACAUCCCGCCACUAACGGCGUCGAGAAACAAAGCACGGACUAGUGGGGCGGAUGCGAGGGGGAUUGAGCGAUACUCACCGGUGGAACAGAAAACUGCCUCCGAGAAUCGGCCGGAGAAGGCGCCACCGCUCGCCGUCGACGGAGAGAGAGCAGGGGUGGAGCGGCCGAGAAACACAGUGCGGAGCAGCGGACGGUUCGAGCGAGCGGACGUGCAGCGGUGGCCCACACAGCAGCGAGAGAAAAAAAGAAACGGCUUGCUGGAAUGAGUAGCGCACGUUGGAUUCAAAUUGACGGCAUCCAAGUGGUGUGGCGUUUUUGCAAUCUAUCACAGGUGUGCUAAAUACAUUUUUCGAUUUUUGUUACCUGUGCCAUGCAGGUGUGACGGUAUGCUUAUAUAUUAGUGGACAAUAUAUAACUGCAUUUUCUCGGACAAGAAAAAAAAGGUGAUCUCUCACGAUCAGCUGCGAGCAGUCGACGUCACCGGAAUUAAAUGCCGCACCAACAAGCAAGAAUCGGUUAAGACAUGCCUGUUUCCCGGUUCAAUCUGCUCGCGUUUUCUCCAUCCUUUUUUUCAGAUUGGUUUGAACGCAUCACACCAAGUACAUACACAUAUCCAGUAUCCGAAUUGUCCGUAUCGGGCCAGAGCCAUCGAUGGAGGACCCGGCCGCAAGCUAGCAACAGUUCCGGCAAUGAAUCGUCUUGAAUAAUCUUGAUCAAACAUCCAGAUUAACAACAGUAUCGGAUUAGCGGUGCCAUUAUAUCCCUAGACAGAAUGAUUAGCAAUACAGUGCAGUGAACCAAUUCUUCAUAUUUUCUCUCGUGCUGUGCAUAUAGUAGUACAAGCACUGUUUGUAUUUGCUCAGCAGUGCCACUCGUCCAAUGUAGACGGACGUUAGAUUGUUUCUAAGUACAAUGACGACGUGGACGGUGGACGUUGCCAUUGAUACGCUAAUUUAUCACCAGCUGCUGAUUAACAUCAUCGCUUAGCUGACCACAGCCAGCCGAGCUAGUAAACUCUCGAACAGUGGCAAAGCUCGCAUCAUCCAAGUCCAGUCCAUAACUAUGUACAGCGCCGUUGAACUGAAAACAAUCACAUCUUUCCCUCUCAAUGUACCACUCCGUCUCCGCAAAAAUCUCGAAGUUGCCGCGAGCCAUAAGUUGUUGCUUGCUUACGUACGUGGUGUAACCAUGGACGGGUUUUUGAUGCGCGAUCGAUCGAUCGAGAAAGCGUGACGGCGGCGUCCAUCGACCUCCGCCCAUGCCGGCGUCCAUCAGCUGUCCGCCUCCGGCGCCGCCGCUACAGCCACCCGGCCGGUGCGCCGUAGGAGCACACGCACGCGCCGUAGCUUUCGUCGGACCGCGUCUCCGUGGUACGUGGCCCUACGAUGUUAGAUUAGAUUCCUGAUUAUCCCGAUCCCGGCUCGGCCUGUACACGGAUGUGUCCCUUGUUGAUGGGCACGCAUGAGAGCUAGGAAUGUGUCCACAUCGAAAUUACUGUCUUUCGAGAUACUCCCUCCGUCCCAUAAUAUAAGACUUUUUUGGCACUACACUAGUGUCAAACAACAUCUUACAUUAUGGGAUAGAGGGAGUAUUUUUUUUAAAGAGCUGACUUAUUUGGCAAAUGUUGCAGACAGCAAGCAGGAAUUUAGCCAUGAUUUUGAUUUACGGAAGCCCCUGGAACGGCAUUUGCUUAAUGCACAGAAUAUUGAAUGUUUGAGCACUCAAGAUGUAGACACUCUGAGUGACCUCCAGAAUCGUUCUUCUGCUUUCUUAUCCAAACAUCAAAGGUGAGGUUGAUUCCUGGAUGGCUGGAUCUAUGGUCGAGAUUGUUGUUCUUGAGGAAUGUCAUCCAAAGGCUGCAGUACCUUGUUAUCACAGAUUAAUGUAGCUCAAGCCUCAAGAUGACGUUUAUUGUUUAGUAACCACAAAAUUAGAGUUGUAUUAGAUCUGAUGCAUUUUGAAUUAGAUGACUGUGAUGCAUUUUGCCGUAUUGCUUGUGAAUCUCUUGUAUUUUCUCCAUUCAGGAAAGAUGGUGGAAAUCUGAAUGCUGGACGCAUUGCUAUACAGUCUCUCUGUGCACCACAGUGUGGAAAUUUUGAGAAGGCAAGUACUCCCUCCGUCCCGAAUUAGUUUCUUAGAUUUGUCUAGAUAGAUACAUCCGUGUCUAGACAAAUCUUAGACAAGUAAUUUGGGACGGAGGUAAUAUUUGCUUGAAAUGAUGUAUGCUGACUGGUCGAAAUGAUGCAGCUCACUGAAUUUUUUUUAGCUUCCUCCCUUUCAAAUCAUUCUCUGACAUAGUAAACUGUUUAUGCAUUGCAGGACUGGGACAUGGUCUCGUUUCUCAGAUCACUGAAGGCCAUGGUGCGCUCAUCUAAUGCCGUUGCCAUUAUAACAUUUCCAUACACAGUCCUAUCAGAUUCUUUCUGCAAGAGAUGGCAGCACCUAGCAGAUACACUGCUGUCAAUAAAAGCAAUCCCAGGCAAGCCUCAUACUUCGAAAUAUGUUUUCCUGUUUGCCACUUCGACUGCCGAUCCUAAAGCCUGAUUGUCCAUCACCUUGAUCAUUAGACGAGGACAAGGACUUGGCGAAACUCCUCACAGGGUAUCAGGAUAUGGUUGGUUUUCUGCAUGUUCAUAAGGUGGCACAGACCAACAGCCAGGUACCCACCAAAGUAAACAUAGGCUCAUAGCUGCUGUAAACAAAACUUGCGCUCUUCUGUUUUGACGACGCCAUUUACAUCGAUACGCAGGUUCCUGUGAUAUUAGAGGCCUCCACAUUUUCUCUGAAGCUGCGAAAGAGGAGGUCGCUGGUGUUAGGACGGCUGAAUCAGGCCACGGUAGACGGGUCGAGCGGGCCCUCGUCUGGUGGAUCAGGCAGUUGCUCCUCGUCGACGCAAGGCUCACAGCUCGAUUUCUAAUUGGGACUACUGGAGCUUCCCUUGGAGAAUAGAGGGUAGCAUCCGCUUUUCUUCAUCUUAUUAGGAUACUUGAAACAGGAAGUAUAGCUCAGAAAGGCUCCUGGUUGCUACGGAGGGAGUAGCUCAGAAAGGCUCCUGGUUGCUGUGUGUAUUUGUUACUAAAAAUGCAACUUUUAGAGGUUUUAUUUUGGUUUUGCAAUGGAUCAUUCAGUUGCUGAUACCCUUUCAGCACGUAUACCUGUAUUUUAAAAGAUUUUCCACUAGUCGGUGAUUACCCGAGGAUGACAAUUUUUGUUGGAGGACGGCGGCGGCAUGCUCUCCGUUCGACGUUCAUCGACGGUAGCUUUCGAAUCACCGCGUUCUUUUGCUUUCUUGAAUCUUACGGGUUCGGAACCCAAGAACCNNNNNNNNNNNNNNNNNNNNNNNNNNNNNNNNNNNNNNNNNNNNNNNNNNNNNNNNNNNNNNNNNNNNNNNNNNNNNNNNNNNNNNNNNNNNNNNNNNNNNNNNNNNNNNNNNNNNNNNNNNNNNNNNNNNNNNNNNNNNNNNNNNNNNNNNNNNNNNNNNNNNNNNNNNNNNNNNNNNNNNNNNNNNNNNNNNNNNNNNNNNNNNNNNNNNNNNNNNNNNNNNNNNNNNNNNNNNNNNNNNNNNNNNNNNNNNNNNNNNNNNNNNNNNNNNNNNNNNNNNNNNNNNNNNNNNNNNNNNNNNNNNNNNNNNNNNNNNNNNNNNNNNNCUGGGCGACUCGGGUGGCGACUAGGGUUCCCCCCAAGCCGCCACCCCCUUUUCCCCGUUCUCCCUCGCCGCCACUUGAGGGUCUCGCCCGAAUAUUGCCCGCGGACGCCGGGGAAGGUGGCGGCGAGGCAUCUGACGCUUCGUCCAUGGCGGAGGUCUUCGGAUCUGGGGCGGCGGCCCUGUUUGGCGAGGCAGCGGCGUCCUCUCGGCUGGCGCCGGCUGCGGGUGAUUCUGGCCGGAUUGCUCGACCACGCGGGUGGUGAGCCGCCGGCGGGGGCUGGCUGCGGCGCGGAGUUUUCCCCUCCUCGCCGGAUCUGAGGUUUGGCUCCCUCCUCCUUGACUCCCUCUGGCCGUCCCCUGCUGCUUGCGUCUCGUGCGCUGGAUCUGGAGAUGAUGUGUGCUCGGUGGUGAGGCUUGGGACUACGGGAAACCGUUUGGUUGGCUUGUCCGGCCCGGCGGCAGCGACGCCUUUGGCGCCGUUCUUCCUCCCUGGAGGUGCCGCCGAGGUCCUCCCCUCUCCACCCUCGUUCCCCCUCCUGGGUGAAAGCCCAAAAUCCGGCUAGGAUUGGGCGGCAACGGCGCGUUUCGUGUCGUGCUCCUCCUUGGAGGUGCCGCCUGGGGAGGGCUCGUGUUCGGGUGAGGUGUGUCAAAGGUCCGAGCUUUGGGCGGCUCUAGUUGUCUGGCGGCGGCGGUUUCGUCGGGAUUUGCUUGGCCGACAUUGUCCCCGUUCCCCUCAAGGGCGGCGCCCACUGGGUGUGGCGUGUUUGGCUCAAGGCUGGCGGUACGGCGCCUUCGAUCCGGCGGUAGGGGAUAGGGUUCCCCUUCCCAGCAUUAGCAACACGGCCCCGGCGGUGGGCUCCCGGUGCUCUUCUUCAACGGCCGACGGGUCUUGCUCCUCGACGUUCUGCGGUCUUCCUUGAUGUCCUUGCCACCCUUCUUCAGCAGCUGCUCCCGGUGGAUUUCCGUCAGUCUACCGGUGUCCUUGGUUGCGGCGGUAUAGUGGAUGUUGUGUGCUCAUUGUCCAUGGUGGUGUGCUCUGCGGUUGCUCCUGGCUCUGAGGUUGCCAUCGCUUCUGCUCUAGGGUGAGCGCUUCUCAGGUCCGCUGGUUCGAUGCCUUUCGAUCCAAGGCGAGAGGGAAGGGUCCCUCUGCGGCGCGAGAGGAGGAAGACGCCUGGUUUUCUUCAUCCUGCGAGUCAGCCUAGUUCAUGCCCACACUCUGUUCUAGCAGGUCUUCAUCCUGCUCUGCCAGUCGCUACCUUUGUUAUCAGUUUUGCUGCUGUCUUCGGCUAGUACAAGCUAUGGGCUCGGUUGUAUUUUCCUUUCGUGCUUGUGCGCUGCGUUGAGUUGUAAGCUUUCUAGAGUGCUCUCUUGUAUCAUUGGGCCGAUGUGGUUUGGUGUAUGUUUGUAAUUCCUGGCCGGUUGAUGGCUUUGUUAAUUCAAAGCCGGGCUCUUCGCGAGCCUUCGUUCUAAAAAAAGAUCUUACGGGUUCAUUUACAUGCGAUUACAAGGAUGGCACCGGCACCACCGCAUGAACAUGCUUACCGGACGCAUCCACUAACGACAUGCUAAGAAAAUUGAAAAAACAUAGAUAACACAACGUUGCCAUCCGAAAAAAUGAGUAAACACUAAAAAAAACCUAAAACUUAAUGUCCAAAUAGAAAGUUGUCAUGCUUCAUAAAUAAAAUUAUCAUCCUCGGGUAACUAAACCUGUCGUUAAAAAAGGUCAGUGCGGAAUUGCUUCAUGUCAUACGUGUGGCACUUAUCAGUGUCCUAAAACUAUGUUAUUGUAGUAUUUAUCGAGCUAGAAUUCUCGGUCUACUUAUAGUCGGAUUCAAGACGCACAGUAGGAAACCACAUCAGCUUUUUUUUACUCUUGCUGGACUACAGUAACUAUGAAGAUAAAUGUAUGUUGAGGGUUGCUGAUGGAUUCUUCCUAAAAGUUUGGACGGCUCCAACAAUGUUGGGGACGAAUAACGCACAUCCCAUCGUGCCAUCCUGCUAUAUUGUCUCUGUCCAAAUUAACCCCACCAUUUCGUCCACUGAAAACAGGAGGCACGUACCACGUACGGUGUGGUGUCACAUGCCACUGCCAUCGGUCAAAAUCAAUCCGGACUUAAUUAGCUCGGUGUGGUGGCACAUGCCAUCGGUCAAAUCAGUCCGGCCAAGCUAACAAGCUAGCUGCAUUCUCGGUCGAACCAACCACGUGUCUUCGAGCAGCCCACCCAACAUGGACAUGGGAAUGGUGUGAUACAUCCAUUCGCCCUACGCUCUGCGCGCGGUACAGCGUACAGUGGAGUGGCGGUAGAUAGGCGAUUAACUCCGGUCGUCGGUCGUCGUCUCGAUCCAUAGAUUCGUUUCGUUCAGAGUUCAGACACGGGCACGGAGGACGGCACAUUUAUGUCCUGGCGACCCAAAGCCGAGCCCGUCUCCUUCCUUUGGCAGCGCCACCGGUUUUAACUUAACCUCACGUGCACAGUUGCAUCUUUCCGGGACGACCGUAUAGUAUAGGAGAUGCAUGCCCAGUGGUUGACCUGACCGGGUGGUUCCGAGGCUCGCCAACGAACAGACUGAACUAAAUUGAACCGCUCCAGCGACGAGCAGUGUAGUUAUUGUGAGGUGUUACGGUGGCCGGGGGCAGCACGUAGGGCCUCUACUCUACCAUGCAUGUCAGCGAGAUUCCUCGGUUCUGGUUCGUUCGGUAUUAUGCCCGGCAGCUGUAGCGGCGACUGAUCGGUGCAAGCGGUGCAGCGGCGCCGGCAUGGGCGAGCUGCAGCCUGUAGACGCGACGAUGUUGGGACAUUCAUGGCCGCCCGGAUAUAUACAACGCUCAUCAACUGCCGUGGCGAACGAUCCAUGCGGCGUUGCUUCGGGACGAUUAUCUAUCUGGCACGAGACGGCGCGUGUAGGUGUAGCCAGGUCAACGCGCGGGAAAGGGGGUCAGCCGGGUUUUUCUGGUGGAACACUGACCUGACCUGACCUGCCUGCAUGCAUGGGCACCUUGGCCACCGCCACCGCCCCGUUGUCCCUCGAUCAUGUCCUGCGUAGAGUUCCUGUGGAAUUUUUUAAUUUUUCUUUUUUGAAAUUUGAGGUAGAACGAGCAAAUGUACUGAUCAUCUCCAUGUUACCAAAAGCCCAGAACAUAAACUCAGAUCUCAUUGUCCAAUCGCUGGCGCACAACUGGUGGAUCUGCAACUACCGCCGCCACCGCCUUGCUAUGGAUUGGUCGGAUACCGAACCGCACUGCCCCGGCAACGCCUCCGCGCCACAUGCGGGCAUUGAAUCCGCCUUUAGCCGCUCAGAUCUCUCCCGACGGCAGUUCGCCUGCAAAGACACGUCCGGCUGUCACCCGGGCUCGGCGCUAGCCUAGCGGCUCGUCAGCUCACUGUUGGCGAUUAUGAAGUGCGACAACUGCCCGUAGCAGGUGGUGGCACCGAGUUUCUACCACGCCGGAACAUUCCAGAUGGAUGUUCUCCAAGAGCAAAAUAGAUGGAAUAUGUGCUUAUUUUGAUUCAGUUGUUCACCGGGUUCGGUGCAAUUUUGGUAGCUCAUUAUUUGCUCAAAUUUAUUUGUAGGAUGGAUGCAAGUUUUGGUAUUGCAAAGAUAAUUACAUCGAUCUAUUGAAAUUUGAUAGAUGCUCGUGCACUCGUUGCUACAAUAGAGGCUAGAGAUGAGAUUAGAUGCGAACCAACGUCGAAGUCUUCGGAAUGAAGAAGAAAAAAGUGUGCAUGCUUGAGAAGCCAAUAAAGAGAAUCAACAAUGAAGCCAUAGAGAAUAUAUUAAUCUAACUAGUGGGAGCAAUUAUGAAAGUUGGAUAUCUAUUAAAAUGUUUAAUUGUGGUUCUUGUUUUUUUAUCUUGCUCUCAUAGCAAAGAAUUGGUGAAUUAUAUACUCCAAUGUGUAAAAUUGCCGUUGAAUGAGAUAAAGAAGCAAAAAAUGUGUUUCGGUGACGGAAAAUGAAAUGCAAAUGAUUUUUUUUACUCCAUUAGAUACAAGGGGUUGGUUAGGUCCGACCAAAAUUUAGUGGAGUAAAAAACACUCCACUAAGGGUUUACUCUGCCAAAUACUCCAUUAUUUUCAGGGGUCGAUUAGAAAUGUCCUAAGGUUAAGUCUGUGAUGUAUUUACCUCAUUUGGUAGAAAAUUCUCGAAAAUAUAAUAUGUUAGUAGCAAGUUUGUUCCCGUUUUACCUCUUAAAUAUUUUGCCCCAUCCCAUCAAGUGGGCCCCAUUGUCUGCUCAAUGGGGUAAAGUGUGACAAACUCUGUCUUUGGGAGUGAAGACUGAAGAGUGAGUAUAUGGGUACCGUGUACUACCAGGUUCACUAGUAUAUAGUACUACAGAAUACGCUUUACAAAGUUAUUGAUGGUCUCUUGAUAACAGUCACAAGCACUCGGCCGAGGAGAUACUAAAGGGAAAGAUGUUAUUGAUCAGUAUUACCAGUGUAACAUUGCGUCCAUCCCAAAACCAGCCCUGUGUUGGAUGCCACCACCUCGUGAAAGAAAGGGCAUUAUCCGUUGAUGGUUCCUUCUCGGCUGCGGAUGGUAUGGCGGUGGCAGGUAUGAUCUUACAGAGGUUUGAUGAGAGUGUUAUUUUGCGGCAUACAAAUUCUUAUUUCAUUGCAAUGAUGCACUUGAGGCCAAAAUCCACGCGCUAAUCCAAGAUAUGGCUCUUGCAAUUCAACUUACGGAGCUGCCGGUUAUUGUUCAGUUUAACUCGUCGAUGGCUCUUCCAACACUUGUUGAUGACUACGUAGACCGUUCUGCUUACGGUCAAUUAGCUUUCGAGACUAAAGCUCUUAUGAUUGAUAAGGAGGAUGACCCCCGACCUUUGCAUCUGGGCGAUGCAUAUGUUCAUUUUAUCAAUUAUUCUUAUAAGACCUUACAAAUUCAUACAACAGCAAGACAAAAGUCACCGUCUAAACAACAAAUGUCGCUACACCUAUCCAAUUGAUGAAGGGGUGCUGAUAGUCUGGGCCUAAUACCAAACAGACAUCGUAGCCAAACCUAAACAUCUAAGACCUGAGGUCCCAACCAGGACGCAUGCCUGUUAUGGGGCACCUACUAGUCCGGCGCACUCCUCAACCAGAACGGCUGCCGGGUAUGAGGCCGCCGCAGCCACCUGCCACGAGUCCAUCUUCAAAGCUGUACUGUUGCAUCUACCGUACUAGGUCUCUCUGCCACCGACGCCACCACGACGCCAGACAGCGUCAUCCUCCUGCGCGAGUCCAUCCUCCCACAUCGAACUCCGAAUCUGCACUGCGCCACGCCGUCAAGAUCCGUCGCUAUCAAUGUAUGGAUGAAGCACCGCUCCACCAAAGAAACCGUCUGCUGGCCCGCGAAGCAAGGCGCAGCACCAAGUAGAAGGCCGAAGUCGCACCGCCACCACGCCACCAGCAGCCCCGCCACCAAGAGUUGUUCCCAGCCACCGAGGAACACGACACCAGGGUGCCGUCGACGCCCAGAGGAGGGGAACAAAAGCUUUCGCCGUAGCUCGAGAAGGAGGCGGAAGGGAGAGAAUCCACCCCAAAGCCUCCAGGAAGGGGAUCGGCACCAAAGGCGUCGACUUUGGGGAGGCCGCCGCGCCAGCCAGGGGUUUCCCCCAGAACGUCACCCGCAUGCCAGAUCCGCCAGGCCGACAAUAGGGGUCGCCGAAAGCAGCCGCCAAGGACUGGCGCCAGUACGGAUCGGGACAGAUCGGAGCAGGGUCGGAUCUUCUACAUGGAGCCAUGACGGAUUGCGAGGAGCCGCCACUGCGCCAGCGUCAGCAGCCCCACGCCGCCCGCACGGCCGUAGGAGGCUGCCCACCAGAUCCCGCCGGCUGCACCGCGUCCACCAACCGGGGCCGCCGCCCCGGGGAGCCAAGGCCCUCCAACGGAGAGGAGGCGCCAGAUCCCGCCGCCACCAUCAUUGGGGCCGAGCACCAAAGCCUCGGAGGCCCUCAGGCAGCAGCGGAGGGAGGGGAGGAGAGGUGGAGACGUGGCGACGGUGCUAGGAUUGGCCCCCGAGUCGCCUCAGAGGAGGCGACGAGAGAUUGCUUCACAUAAAUUACAUUCUGAUCAAAAUAGAGUGGUUGAUUGUUUGAUAAGGUAUAGUCGCUCUGAAAGUAGCACAAUUGUGUGGUUAUUAGAGGGCCCCAAUGUAUGGAGGAACUCUUGCCUCUUGACUGUAACUCUAUGAUUCUGGAACCAAAUUCAUUUUCUCACAAAAAAAGAAAAGAAUGCACACAUUCCCCCCACCUUGAAGAAAUAUGGGCAUUCUUUCUCUACUACUUAAAAAGAACGUAAGGUUUUCAUUUCACCUCUCCUUCGUACAACCUUGCUUACAUAUGCCCCCUCCCCCCUCCUUCUUCUUUGAUUUUUUUCUUCCAUUAAUUUUCCAAAAAAUAUAAUCAAUUAUCUCACGUUUUAUACUUUUAUGAACUUAUCAAAAUAAAAACAUAUUUUCUUUGGUAGUCAAUAAAAUCUUACCAGAUUUGAACUCAUCAAUAUAAUAAUAGACAUACAUUCACGGGCUAAUUUAUUAGAAUGAAUGUUUGUAUUCCCGUUGCAAUGCAUAGACAAUUAUCUAGUUAAAAAAAGAGAAGGGCACUGUUUUUGUGAGCAUCGCCCAGCUGCAGCUGCCUGCUGGCUAGCAUGUGUCCCGCGGACGGGCAUCGUUGCGAGCAUCGACCAAAAGCGCAGGCUAGCCCGUAGACGCACUCCAUCGGCCGCUACGCAGUCGUACGUUGCGUUGGUUCUACAGACCAAAAAAAAAAA
rnacentral:lncRNA from 1 species